rnacentral:lncRNA from 1 species
UUUUUUUUUUUUCUUUUUUUUUUUUUUUUUUUUUUUUUCUAACCUUAUCCAUAAUUAAAAAAAAAAAAAAAACUUCAUGGUUCUCAAUGAUUUGGAAAAAUAAGCACAAUAAUUGGACAUGUCAAUAUUAUAUUAAUAUUUGAUACAUAUUAUAGUGGUAGUAUUUUGUAUGAUUUUCAAAUAAAAUUUGAUUAACAACUCAACUCAAGAAAUAUAAAGCUAAGUCAUUUUACUAGAACUAAGUUUAGAUCCAAGGAUCUUAUUUUGCAUAUUAAUAUAUAAAUUAGUUGCACAUCUUUUAAAUUUUAAAACUAUUCAAUAGAACAUCUUUUAUCAUAUUAUUUUUUGCUAUUGGCAAUCAUCUAAAGUUCUUACUUAUAAAUAAAACUCUUUAUAAAGCAUAUUAAAAAUUUAUUAAUAAUUUAUUUAUUUUUUACAAUAAAUAGACAACAAAUGUUAUCUAUUAUAUUUUAGAGAAUUUUACGAAUUUAAGAGCUAUUAUUCAAUGCUUUUAUUUUUUCAAAUUUUAUUGUCAUUAAAAUAUAUUUGAGAUUUUUGAUUUUAGACAUUAUUUUGGAAAAUAUAGCUUUGAUUUUAUUACAAUAAAGCUAAGUUAUAUAAUACAAGAAAUUAAACUAUUUACUUAAAUAUUUUUAAAUAUGUAGCUAAUUAUUUAUAGAAUUAAAAUUCUUUAGAUAAUAUUAUUCUUGGAUUUGUAGAAAUUUUGAUGCUUUAAAUUGUAUUUUAAAUAAAGUAUAAUAUCAUGCAUUUGAGAGUAUAAAUUGAGCCAUCUUUAAAUAAUAUAUAAUUAUAAUAUAAUAUUGUUAAGAUCUAGCUAGCCAAUAAACAAAUAGAAAAAAUCUUCUUCAACUAAUUUUCUUUUAAAUUAAGUAAGACUACUUUAUAAAAUAUUUUUAUUAUUAAAAAAUACAAUAUAUUAGCUGUUAUAACUUUGAGUGAUUGCUUUGCUAUCAAAUAAGGAAAUUAACUAUCAAAUAAGUCGAAGUAGUAAGAUAUAUCAAUAUUAUUUAAUAUUAUGUACUUUAUGUAUUGAAAUAAAUUUAUCAUCUUUUACUUUAAAUUCCAAUUUAAAUAUAAUCUAGGCUUUAAUCUUAUACCAUUUUAAUUCAUGAAAUAUACUAAACACAAAUCUCAACAAAAGUGAAUCUUAACGUAGAACAUAUAUUAGCAAAUUUUGAUUAAAAAAAUACCAAUUAUCGUAACCAAUCUUAUGGAUUUAGAAAUAUUUCAAAGCUAAUACAAUCAAUCUUAGAUUACAAUUACAAAGUAUGUUCAAAUUAUUAAUUUAUACAUCAUAGAUAGAUUAUUUUAUGUUUUUUAAGUCAAUAAAUAUUUUUUUAUUUUCUAUUAAUUAUUAUUAAAUAAAUAUUUUAUUUUUUAUAAAAAUGAUAAAAUAUAUUCUUAUAAUUACAACAUAAAAUUUCAGUAUUCCUAAAACAAAUAUGGAUUGAUUUAGUAAUGCAAAAAUAAUCAAAAUAAGUACGUAUGCUUUGUUGUGUAUAUUAUUGGUUUUUAUAAACCUAAAGAUGAAUCCAAUUUAGAGAAUAUCUAUUUUUAACACGUAUAUAUUAGCACUUUUAGAUUCAAAUAAACAUUUAUAUCAUACUCAAGGUUUUAUUUGGAAUGCAUUACAAAGCUUUGAGUAGUUGAAGGGUGGUCAAAUCUUUACAAGUUUUUAUCUUUUUAUGACACCAAUUAACUUAUGGUUAAAAAUAAGGAGAUAUAAUGUUCUCUUAUAUAGAUUAAAAAACUAUACCUAUUUGAUAAUAUAUAGCAUUGAUAACAUUAUUGUUAAUAGCAUGGACUAUUUAUAAAAUUUAUUAUUUUAUUCAAUUUGUUGUUUAGAUAUAUUGAUUUAUAUUCUAUGUAGUCAUGAAAAAAAAAGGUGUUUAAUAAAUGAAAUAUUUACUAUUUUUUACUUUUUUUGUUUAUUGUUUUUUUUGGUUAUUUCUAUUUAUUGGGUAGCAUCAAAUUUCUAAAAACUUUAAAACACACAUUAUAUGUAAAACUCAAAGCAUUUGUUUGAUCAAAUUCUUGACAAAUUUAGUCAAAUUAAGUUACAUAUAUUAACAUAAAAUGGAUUAGUUUUAGUUUUUAAUUUUUUUUAAGAACGUGUUGGAACAAUAGUUACAAUUCUAUAAAAUAGGUCAUUAUUAUAUAUUAUAAUUUAAUACACUGUCUUUUAUGUCCUUGACUUAUAAAGGAUUGGCCUAGAAUUGCACUUCACAUACUAAGAUAUUAAAAGAUCUAAUUGAAGUGAAAAGGUUGAUUAAGAAUUUCAGAAGGGACACACAAACCAAAAUCUUGUCAACAACCAACAAUCACAUAAUCUUUGCACAACUAGUACAACAAAUUCAAAACUCCUGUAGCUUCUCCCAAGGCCUACGCAACUCGGUUUGAAUGGCUGAGGAUGGGGACACAAAAAACGAAGCCGCACCUCGUAAGCAAUGCGCUGCUUGUGUUCAUCACCCCCCCCCCCCCCCCCCCCUUCACUUCCAAAGCCCCAUAAACGAACUGCACGCACUGUGUGUUGUUGCUCACUCACUCUCUCUCUCACACACCCCAAAUACCAAAUAGAAUGAAUGGGAAUGGGCCCCACAUGAUGGAAAAGGAUUUGAGUUUAUCAAUCAAUCAGACUGUAGCACUCCGCCGCGGGCCGGGCCACCCGGCCGGCAACGCGGCCCCACCCGACCCGCGCCCGAGAUUCCCCCCGUGGCGGUAGCGCCGAAACUACAAUGGGCCCCACUCGCCCGGCACACCCUGUUGCGAGAGGACUUUUGCAAAAGGACGGGGGGAGCUGCUCAACGCACCAGCAGCAGUAGAAGGAAGAGGAGGUGGAGAAGGAAGAGGUAGAGAAGGGGAAGGAGGCGCAGAAAAGAAAGGAAAGGAAAGGAAAGGAAAGCAGGGAAGGGGAAGGAAGAAUGAAGGAAGGGAAGAAGAAGGGAGGAAUAAGUGCACAGUCGAUGAUGUUGGUGAAGAUGAUGAUGCCCUUCUCCUAGAAGAAGACGUUGGCCUGCUUUAGAGAAGCAGAAGCAGAAGCAGGCAGUAAGUAAGUGAGUAUCGCAUCCUCUCCCUCACCCGCCCGCCCACCAUCAAGGCAGCGCCAGGCAGAUCCCUUUUCUCGUUGCGCGUGUCAUGUUGCGCUUGUUGCUUCGACUUCUGUCUGCAAUCCCUGGGUUCUCCACCGACGGCAGCGGCUAGGUUUUUGGGGGAGGCUUUUGUAGGAGUGACAGCAAUAGCAGGAGGAGCAGCAACAGCAGCUUGUGAGGUUUAGACCACCGUCGCGGACACGUUCGUUUUUUUUUGUAGGUGUCGUAUCCAGUUGGGAUCGUCAGGUGGCUGAGCGGUUUUUAGCUCGCUGGGAGUUUGGGCGGGAGAGGGAGACGUGUGGAUGGUUUGAUCCAUAGUCGUCGCGAGGCAUGUGACUGAGGAGGGUUGGGAAUUUUGGGUUUUGGAUUUUUGGGGCUUGGUGGAUGAGGUGUUUGGGGGGUAGUGCGGAAGCCGAAUUUUUGGGGUGGCGGGGUUUAGGUCGUCGGUCGAGGGCAGUUUUUGGGUUUCUGACAUGGAUGUUGAUGCUGAUUGAUUGGUCGGGGGCUUUAUUGGCGUGUUUGUGGGUUGUACAAGGAAAUUAGGGCCCGUAGCAAAGCUUACUGUUGCGCCGAAGGAAACGAAUUGGGUCGAGAUUUUUGCUAUUAACUUCUUUCUGUAUCUGUGAGCCUGUGUUUAUUUCUUUGUAAUCUUAUCUUGAUUUGAAAUUCAAUCUUGCAUUUUUAUGGGACAACGCAGCCAUGUGCAGUGUUAUCAAAGUUUGCAGUAGUAUGAAUGCAAUCCUUUCUGUUUUAUUGUUGGUUUUGAGGUUACUUAUGCACUCCAUGAAUAGUAAAGCUGUUAUGGAAAUGAAAACUUAGGGUGCGUUUUAGUAAAAUUGGCUUGUCCAUUGUCUUCGUUUGUAUUACUUGUCGUGCCAGGAAGUAGAGUUUGUGGUGGUUCUAUCUUGCCGUGAACUACAACAAAUUAGCGGGUUUGAGGUUUCAUUACGAGGAAGCUGACAGGGUUCUUUUGAUGUUCUGGGGAUGGUUCGAGUGUUAAUCUCACACUUCCGUGUUACACGUUGUCAUUGAGCCUAUCGAUCAUAAGUUAGUUUGCUUGUUCCUGCAAGGGCCUUCACUGGAUCAUCACUUAGCAGUCAGUAAAGCAUAUCCUGUACUUCAGGCUUUGCUGGGUCAAUAUUUCUAUAGCGGAACCCCCUAUUCUGUAAUUUUUAUUCGGCCGGUGGUCCAGGAUAGCUUGGAUCAAGCUUUAUCUCUAUCCUUAUCAAGAUAUGCUUGUCGCCCUUGCUUGCGGAAUUCCCAUCUGAUCGUAAUUAGUCUUGUAAGACAGUAGGCUUUGGUCCUGGGUUCUAAUGUUAUUCCCGUCUCUCAAUGAAUCGUUACCUACCUAGAUGUUGUAAUGGUUUAUUGGUUGUGGAUGGCAGAAACGAAAGUGUGAAGAGUCCAGGAGCUCCUUAUUGAAAUAAGAACAUAAUGGGCGCCACAGGACCGUCCGGAGGUUUUGACAUUCAUAAUUUCUUCAACAAGCAACCUCCGAGCCCAUAUCCCCCUCCUCAAUACCCUUCUCAUACCCCGUACCCCCCUAGUCAAUUUCCUCAGAGUCCAGGAUGUUUUCCAACCAACCCUGGUUCUUUUCCAAGUAUGCCACCCCAAAAUUUUCAGUAUAGUGCGCAGCAACAACAAGGGCAACCUCACGUAUUCCACCCAUACAUACACUAUCAGCAGGAGCAUGGAGUGCGGCCGUCAAACUAUAAUACUGCGCCCUACAACCAGCAGCAGCAGCAGCAGCAGCAACAACAGCAGCAACAGCAGGGCCAGUUCCCCUCUCCGGGUUCCCUGAGCUCUCUACAUGGCAACCCUCCUCAUUCAUCUCUUUCUUUAUCUUCUUUGCCUCAAGGCAGUGGCGGCCCAAACCAGGCAUCAACCUCUCCUUUGGAUGGCGCCCGUCUCAUGGCUCUUCUGACAACACAUGGCGGAGCGGAAGCUCCCAGCAGCGAUGAUGGUUCAUUGCUUUCAGGAAUCCAACAAAGCAGCACCGAACGACCCCGUUCGUCUCCGGUAAUUAGCCAGGAUGUUUCUGUCCCUCCACCUGCACUGGCUCCGGCACUGCCUACAGCUCCGCCAGCUCCAGUUUCCCAAGUGACUUCCACCGCGUCUAGUAGGGGGUCGAGUGGCAAGAAACCACGCGGUCGGCAUCUGUGGGGGGAUCACGUCUUGUACGAUGUGGAUGUUCGUAAAUCUGGAGAGGCGCAGCCCCAGUUGGAAGUUAGCCCUAUUACAGUUUAUGGGUCCGAUCCGCAUCUAGUGGUCGGGAGACAGAUUGCCGUUAACAAAAGGUACAUCUGCUACGGACUGCGCCAAGGCACGAUUCGUAUCCUGAACAUCGACACUGCAUUAAGAGCGCUUCUUCGAGGUCAUACUCAGGUACUAGACAAUUACUGAAAAGAAUUCGGCUUUAUUUGCAGUGGAUGCCGUGGUUGACUGUAAGAUGGUUGUGCAGUUGUUGCUGUUUCGUGUUUACACACUUAUUGUUUCAUUUGUUGAUGGCAGAGGGUGACGGAUAUGGUGUUUUUGUCAGAGGACCAGCAUCUUCUUGCAAGGUUUUCUCUCUGCACCUCACCUGCAUGCUUGUGCUGUCCGUAUAUCGGGGGGAGUUUCUCUUAGUUUGGCGUUGCACACAACGAAAUGUCGUGUUAUUAGUAGAAGAUUAAAUUCAGUUGUUCAGAGUGGUGAAUUUCAGUGUCCAACUCAAUCACGGUCUACACAGCUACAGGGUGCGGGUCUGCCAGAGCUAGGGACUGGCUUAUGGAAUUCAUACAGAAAUAGAACAAUUAAUCCGGGACAAUGUUGGUAUUUAAUUCGUCGGAUGGAGGCUUGUCAUUUCUGAUGGUGUUCUGUGUGUCUUGCAGUGCAAGUGUGGAUGGUCGCAUUUUUGUUCGACGGAUCCUGGAGGGACCAUCCCCCGAGGUUGGCAAGGUUCUCAUCACAGAGCAGAUAUUGCUAGCCAUCGAAUUUAUUGGGGACUGGAAAUCAUGUCAUCCACGCGUAUGCUGGAAUCUCCAAAUGCAGGCAAGUCUCAAGGAUAAAGUUGAAUGAAAAUAAAUGUAGUGCUGUCGCUAUUUGAUAUAUACUUGCUCUUAGUAUUUUCUGCAUGAACUAGGCGUCUUAUCUUAAUCGGCAUCGACACAUGAUGACAUAAUUGUUAUCUGGUGUCUUGGAAUGAAGUAUACAUUCGUUGCCGAGAGGGUUUGUGUUGCGUAUGUGCGGCUUUGUCACUGAAGGUGAAAUGUCUCGCAUGUUUGAUACAGAAUGUGUUGGCGGUGGCGAUCGGGCAGUAUGUCUUGAACAUAGAUGUAGGUAAGGUGCAGCAGGCUGCACCUCCAGGAGGUUUUUCCGUUGACCAACCUCUUCAAUGUCACGUGGAGAAGCCAGUAGAUGGAGUGAAUGUGGUUGGCAUUCACGAUGGUACUGUGACGGAUUUGGCAGUUCCAUCGUUUUCCACCUUCAGGGUGGCAUCAGUCUCACAAGAUGGCACGGUACAGAUUUUUCCUGUGUUGUAAUUCGAAGUUCUGAUAGCAUUGAGGGAGCAAUUGAUUUGAUCUUCGGGGCAGGAGAGCUAAUGUGGUGUGUCGUUUAUUACCAGUUGUACGCGUAUUUUGAAUGUGUGGCUCACGAUUGAAUUGUUGGUUGUAUUACACGGCGCAGAUGCGCAUAUGGGGGGACAACAGCAGAAGCCCGCUCCUGAGUAUCGUGCCUCAUGGUGGAGAGCCAGUGUCCGCAGUUGCCUUUUUGUCAGCACCGCGGCGUCCUGACCAUCACGUUCUGCUUACUGCGGUAGGUUUCAUCCUGCCUUGUUCCUUUCCGUUGAAUUGAAACGUCCAAACUUGUGUGCUUAGCAUCAGACUAUACAGCGAGCGUUGUGAAAGGUUGCUCCGAUCAUGUUUAGCGUCCGAUGCAGCAAGCGAUUGUGAUGCACUGGACGUGUUCCCACUUGUAAAAUUCUGUUUGUAUACGUUGUCUCCAGGGGCCAUUGAACAGAGAGUUGAAAUUGUGGGCGCCAAUAAGUAGUUCAGAGGAUCCACGUUCGAAGUCAGGCACAGGAGCCUGGCGAUGCAUACAAACAUUGGAGUUUCAGAGCUCGGAAGUCGUUGAUGGAAACUACGGGGAUGCGAUUUUUAAUCAGAUGGUUUUAGCUUCUCGUGCUAGCCUGAUUUUGUUGGCGAAUGCAAAGAAGAAUGCCAUAUAUGCGAUUCAUGUGGAAUUUGGGCACAGCCCAGCGGCUGCACGAAUGAACUACCUGGCGGAAUUUUCUGUAAAAAUGACUAUUCUGAGCUUGACAGUUGCCGAGGACGGUGUGUCCGAGGCCGGAGAAGGGAAGGUCCAGAUUUAUUGUGUUCAGACACAGGCGAUCCAACAGUACGACCUGGACGUGUCACAGUGUUUGCCACCUGUGGAUGACAUUGUGCCUGAAACUCCAGGAGCUCGUGAACGCCCGGUUUUGCGUGGUGUACAGGAUACUGACCGGUCGGAGAACAUCAGCGUCCCUGACUUGAUAGACAUGGGGCCUGGACCUGUAUCUGUUGUGAGCUCGGUGACAUCCACUGCAACCAACGUGAGCGUUCCUGCUAGAACCCCGGUCGUCUCUUCGUCUUUCGGAAGUCCGGUGGAAUUUGGUCGGCCGGAGGCGUCACCUGCACAUCACGUGGAGAAGAGCAUAUCAAUGGACUUCAAUGCAUUGUUGCAAGGUUCCACAAAGUCACAGAAGAAGGAGAGCGGGAAGGUUAGUUCUGAGUUUUCAUCAAGUGCAGAGCUCCUGGCGCAAAUGUCCGGCAAGUCAGAAGUGGCAGCUGCAGGCAGUGCGCAACCCUCCGCCUCGCGAAGAUCGCGGUCAAGGAGCCCAGUCAGGGUUCCCGAUUCGCACCAAGUCUCGAUGGGAACUAAGCAGAAGGGAGAGGAUGCUUACAUGACUAUACCGGAGGCAUCUUCUUUGAUGCCACCCCUUAAUGUGUCGAAUCUGGACAUGGCGCAGUCCAAUUCAAGCACCACCUCUGUAGACGAAGUUUCGGGAAAAAUACACAGGGACGCAUCUGCAGACAGUAGCAGUGCCAAGACCUCGAAUUUAUCUCAGCCUGGAAUUCUCCAUCAAGUUCUUCAUUUGAUAACUCCCUCAGAACUGAUGAACUUGGUAGCUGGGACAAAGAAUUCUGAAGUCUAUAACGCUCCGCUAUCAAUUCCUGAUCAAGAACAGAUUGGCGAGGAUGGAAAGAAACUGCUAUCCAAGGGUAGUGGCAGCAGCGAUGGGUUCGUUGGCGAGGAUUCCAGCGUGGUUAUGGAGAAGGAGGUAGUGGAAUCUAAUAUCUUAGUUGUCCAAAAUGAUAUCAGUGGGAAGGAGGUUCUGUCAUCCUCCUUGUUAGAGUCUCUAGAGACAACUCAAAUUUUAGGAAAUGAUUACGUGGGCAAAGAGCACUCGGUAUCCCAGGUUGGCAUAGACCUUUAUGUAGGAGAGAACUCACAGGUAGAAGAGGGCGAAGUUUCACAAGAUAAGGAGCGACUCUUGAUUGACACGGAGGACGUAAACCACAGGCUGAGAGAGCUGAGUUUCAGAGAUGGUAGCGGCGAGUUGCCUUUACUUCAGGUAGCAAAUGUAAAGGGAAGGAAGAACAAGAACAAGACGAACGUGGGUGGUAUUGGGUCUAGUUCUGCAAUACCCUCUCAGGUGUCAAGUAUGUUGGGGCCUGGAUUAAAGCCAGAAGGUGAAACCAGCCACAUUGUAGAUCCAGUUUCAUCGUCAACGCCGAUGGCAGCCGCAGCACCUUCCACUGCUCCUGCUGCCAUCGACCCUGCUUUCCUGGCGCAAGUGGCUUCAAUGCAAGAGUCACUGAACCAGGUAUGCUUUUUGGAUUGGUUGUUGAAGCGGGUUUUAUUGACCUGGUUCAUUGUACACCUGGUUGUUUCAAAGUCCUGCACCUGACGGUUUUGUAGCAGGCUCAGCAGUGAGGAAGAGUGUAAAUGUUAACGUUGGUAAGUUGGCGUGGGCUUGUGACAGUUGGUGACCAUGCAGAAAGAAAUCCAGAAGCAGAUGGCUGUGAUGGUGGCUGUGCCUGUUCAGAAGGAGGGCAAGCGGAUGGAAGGUACGCUCUUCUUUGUUGUGGAAAAGGAUAUUUUGGAACGUGCGUCUUUUUCGGAGGGUCACCUAUUUAUUUGCUUAUUUAUUGCGAUCGGAGAGUAAUACGUAGUUGUUCGUGUGGAUGGAUUCCGAUGCCUAAUUAAUCACCAACUUGCAGUGUUAGGUGUUGUAUUACAUUUGUGGUGUCGAAGUGCCUAAUUAGGCAAGCCUUGUACUUGUGGCUAAAUGCAAUUUGCAGCCGUAGUUAGUUACGGGUGCAUUGGGAAUUAUUGUUUUUUGUGAACACGCGAACGUUGGAUGCUGUUUUCAGUUGCGCUAGGGCAGCGGAUGGAGAAGAUGUUAAAAGCACAUGUCGACGCCAUGUGGGCACGGUUAGCGGAAGAGAAUGUACGGAGAGAGAAGCAAGAGCGUGAGAGAGUGCAGCAGGUGACGAUGAUGUUAACAAAUUUUGUGAGCAAAGAUAUGCCGGUUGCUUUGGAACGCGGAUUCAAGAAGGAAUUUGCUGCGAUUGGUCCAGUGGUGGCACAGGCGGUUCUUCCUCCUCUGCAUAAAGCGGUUGCGGCAAUUGUGGCCGAGUCCUUUCAGGUGGCUGUGAUUGAAACUUGAUCGCAGGGCAUAGUUCUUGUGAUUUAUGUGUAUUUUGAACUAUUACUAUUACUAUCUAAGCUUCCUCAUGUUGUGUUGUGAACGCGCACUUGCGACGGGUUUCGAAACGGUCCGAUUACAGUUGUAGGGCAAUGUUAUUUGUGUGCAAGAAAUGAUGCAGCUGGGAUAGUUUUUAGUCACGGUUGACGUUGAGUUAUGCUACACGGUCUAAGUGAAGGUUUGGGUGGUGGGAAUCGUGCAUUAUAGGGUUCUGCAGAGAAAAUGUUACCACACCUGGAGAAAUCGGUAGGCGCGAAGUUGGAGGGAACAGUGACCCGGCAGAUACAGACCCUGUUUCAAACGAUUGGUCGACAAGUCUUGCAGGUGAUUAGAGAAGCGUGUAUAGAGAGACAGCAGCCCGUCGGCAUGAUUGUGUUGUGUUUGUACCAUUAAUGAGUUUGAUGUGGUAUGGCAACGUUUGGGCGGGGUUUAUGUGUUUUUGCAGGAUGCGUUACGAACGUGCUUUGAAAGUACUGUUCUUCCAUCUUUCGAGCGGACAUGUCAAACCAUGUUUGAUCAAGUGGAGUCAUCGUUCCAGCAUGGCAUGUCUGAAUACACUCAGCAUGCUCAGGAGCAGCUUCUGUCGUCUCAUUCUGACCUCGCUUCCACAUUGAAGGUUUGCCUGGUUCUUGACGCUGGAAGUGCUAUUGGAGUUUAUGUUUGGGCAAUUUGUAUGGAGAUUAAAUGUUUUCAAUCGCAUGCAGCGCAAUGACGGUUGGAGGCUUAUGAGCGGGCUUCGUUUGAUGUACUGUGCAGGACACUGUGGCAUCGGCUAACAGACUCGCGGACUCGUUGAAGGGAGAAUUAGCAGAUGGCCAGAAGAAACUUAUGAUUCUUGCAGAGAACGCGAGUGCAAAUGCAGCCCGCGCUCAGCCUGCCAACAAUCAGAUCAAUGGCGGGCUUCCUGACAAGGUCCGUGACCAUGCAUGCGUUGAACCCUAGCGAGAAUUGACCUGGGUGAUAAAAUUGUGUGUGUUGUGUUUGGUGGGAAUUUUUCUUUCUAACAUGUUUACUUCGUUUUGUUUUAGGUGCUUUCUGUGCAGCACCUGGAAGAGACGUUGGAUCCUACGAUCGAACUCAUCAGACUUUUGAAGGAGGGCAAGCUCGAAGAAGCAUUCAACAAGGCUCUGUCUUUGAGCGACGUAGCAGUUGUUUCGUGGCUGUGUAUGCAGGUAUGGCUUAGUUUGCGUUUAAAUGGUGUGUAGGAUUGUGGUUGGUCGGUAGGUGUUAUGAAGUGAGAUCUCAGAGAACAUAUGACUGGAUGCGAAGAGACUGAUGUGUGCGAGUGAUCUGCCAUUGUGGCAGUUGAAUGAGGCUCAUCUUUUCAGCACAGUCCCACUACCGUUGAGUCAAGGAGUACUGCUGUCAUUAGUUCAGCAGCUGGGUUGCGAUUUGGACAAAGACACAACUCGGAAGCUGUCUUGGAUCCGGGAGGCAGCACUGGCGCUGAACCCCGAUGAUCCGUUGCUGGCUCCCCAUAUGCGACCCUUUCUACAUCAGCUUCACCAGAACUUGCUCCGACAAAUGGAGCAGACGACGGUUUCAGGAGACCAGACGACGGUUCCAGGAGAGCAGUCGAAUUUGAGACUUGUUAUCCACGUUGUCCGGUCUUUGUUGACAUCUUGCAAACAAUGAGGUAGAUGCUGACGCAUUCUUGCAGCAGCAGAAGAGAGGGGGAGGGCUGAUCCCAUUAGGAAGAUCCACAAGGGCUGAUCAAAAAGACGCAGGACUAGAUGCCCACGCCUUGGGAGCUGUCUGGUUCGUUUUCGGUGUGCAUGAGAAUCUCCCAGAGCAUUAGAGUUGGUCAUGAGUGUUAAUAUGGAAUGGUGGUGGAAGUUGGGGGGGGGGGUUGCUACGGUUUGUGUGGCUACUGAGGGGUUUGAUGUGGAGAAAGUGGAGAAAUGGUCAAUACAUGAGUUUCUGAAGUUGAAUCCUUCCAAACUGUUGCGAAGGUUCGUCAAGAGGUGACAAUGGGGAGAACUGUACAGAAAUAUGGGCUGCGUUUUGUACAGUCCAGGCUAUAGUUGUAUGAGAUAUGAAAGUUAGGCAACAGCCGAUCUAUUUUCUCUUUAGGCCGUUAUCUGUGUGACUAGGUGAUCAUCGUUAGAUACAGCAGUAUCCUUGCCUUUGAGCAGAUUUCAAGGGGGCGAAUCUUGUCCCAGAGGGUCUUCACUGGUGUUGUAAAUCAACGAGGUAAGAAGUUACAUGCGCUAGUUGACAUUGCUGGGUGUUGACCUGGUUUGCGACUGUCGAUACUUUAGAUAUAAGUGCAGGAAGUACAGGAUGUGCCCAUGUGAAGGCGCCGAGGACUUUGUGGGGCUGAGUGUUAUUUGUAUAGUGCGACUGGUGGUGGAAAGCCAGGCAGAAUUCAGCACACAAGUCCUGUUUUUCUGGUUGGGGUCAGCUGAAGGUUGUUGCUCCAAAGCUUUUGUUCGAUGAACGUGGAGGAUGAUAUGAAGUGCGUUUCAAUGUAAGGAUGACCCAGAUGUUUGCGUCUUCCGUGAUAGAAGAUGACGCCGAUCUAUGUUUUCUGCGGUCUAGAAAUUGACGUGGAUUGAUAUAUUAGUGCUUCAGCACAUGGCGCGCUCAAGUUUUCGAUACCAUUUUUACUUUAUGCCUGGUCAUCAUUGUAGUUUGCUUCUCCUUUUUAAUGCACUCAAGGCGAAGUGUGGUGUAAUUGCCGUCCACAGUAAUCGAGUUUACACACAACAAUGAUAAUUAUAGUCUACAUCUGUGGGAGAUGGAUUUGAUGUGGGAGUUUUCUUUUGGAUGGUUGUGUUAUUUGUGCAUAAACCUCUACUCUAGCUUUGUCAGGAACAGUCAGAUCCUCCACAAGCGAACUGACUUUUCUACCACCAUGUGAACUCUAUAGCAUGAAACUGUUCUCGGCAUUUAGAAGCAUGAAAGAGUACAGAAAAAAUAGCAACCGAUUUUGUUGUAGGCUCAAAUCAUAGCCAGCAUGCCCAUGAUCGACAAGGGGCUUGUUCAUCUCGCAAGUUACAGUCUUGUCCGGCAUGUCCAGAGGAGAGCCUGCACCAGCAAAGACCACUUACUAGUUGCAGGUUAUGGCCAACAUUGAACUUUCUUCAGUGGCAUCCGAAUGCUAGCAUGAGUACAUACCCUUAAUAUUUGUCCAAAUUGUGCCUUAGACAAUUGAAGAGGGUUGUUAGAUCUAGGCAUGCGGGCUGAGCAGCGAUGACCUUGGGUGUCAAAAUAAUGUGGGAAAAUCAAGUUUAGUUUGCUGAGUUGGUUGGGUUAAGGCUCUUGUCAUCGUAAUUAGGUAGAACAGCUUAAGUCGACUAAUCCUAGUAAAGGUUGACUUGUCUUAAAUAUAAGGCGAAGGAAGGAUCCAAUAGUUUCAGGGUAAAUGUGAGUGAUGCAAAGGAACACAAAAUUGAUACAAAAUCAAAGGAUAUCUUAAAUUUAUAAUAUGUAGAACCUAAUAUUAGAAAAAUAUAUAACAUGAUAAAUGAAUAUAUAUAUAUAUAUAUAUAUAUAAUGAAUAUAUUACAAAUGUUGCAUUUUAAAAAACCAACAGAAAAGAUUUACACAACACAUGCAAAAUAUAGGAUGGAAAGAAAUAUGAUUUUGAGCUAGGCCCAUUGUGUGAUUGAAGGUGAAUCUAAGGUAGGCUUUUCAAGUUUUAGGGUUAUAUUCAAUUUGUGAAAAGCUUAACCUUUCUUGUGAUUGAAAGGGAUAUUGUUGAGAAUGUCUUAGAGAGAUACAAGAGUAGCUAGAAGUAAUGUGCACACAUACACAAAACACACACACAUACACACACAAAGUAUAUAGAAGGAGAGAGAGCUUCUAAACAAAACUAUGUAUUGAUGUGGUUGUCUCACUUAUAUACAAAGAAAAAGAGAGAAAAACAAUUUCUCCCUACUACAUUCUAAAUACUAUAGCUACGAUAUUUAUUGUAACUAUAGUGAAUGUUAUGGAAUGCAUUGGCUACAUUUAAUGCUCAAUACUCCUCCUUACUUGUCAUAAUAUUUAUAUAACAUAAAAUUUGUAUAGAAUUAUAAUAUAUAUUAUUUUGUAAUCUCACAUGAUCAACAGCUGCUCUUUCAUUAAAACCUUAUCUAAGAAAAUCUUAUUGUAUUCAAGGACAAAAACCAUAGAUAAAAAAAAAAAAAAAGAGUACAACCUCAUUUUUCUUAAUUAUGUAAAAAAUUCAUUAACUUUCUUGCUCAAGAAAAGCAAGUCCCCACAUGCUAAUGUCAUAAGUAAGUUGGCGAUGGUUGUAAAAAGGGAGAGCUUUGGUGAAGAAAUCAACAAGGUUAUUUAUAGAUUCAAUUUUCUUGAUCUUAAGUACUUUAUUAAUAAUCAAAUCAUGGAUGUAACUAAAAUAUUUUGGAUCAAUAUGCUUUGUCUUGUAACCUUUAAUGAAACCAACUUGCAUUUGUGCAACAAAAGCACUAUUAUCUUCAUGCAAAAUAACUAGAGAAUCAUCAUAGGAAAGUCUACUCGUUGUCUAAAUGAAUUUAUUAAUUGAUCGUAAUUAAAUACAUUCUCGAGAUGCUUCAUGUAAGGCAAUAAUUUUUGCAUGGUUGGAUGAAGUUGCAAUUAUAGUUUGCUUCACUAAUUUUUAUAAUAUUUCAACUCCAUGUCUUAAGAAUACAUAUCCUAUGUGAGAUUUAGCUGUUGCAAUAUUAGAUUUAUAUCUUGUCUCACAAUAUCUAUUUAAUUUUGAAUCUAUAGAUCAUGUGUAAUAUAUUUCUAAGUCUUUAGUACCUGUUAAAUAAUGAAAUAAGUAUUUGAUUCCAUUCUAAUGUCAUAGUAUUGGACGUGCACUAUGUCUUGUAAGAAUACUCACUAAAAAUGCAAUAUCUGAUCUUGUAGAUGUGACUAAAUAUAAAAGUGCUCUAAUUACUGCAAGGUAUGGAUACUAAUCUCUCAAUCUUUUCUCUUCUCUCUAGCAUGGAUGGUAUAUAUCAUCACCAUCAUAACCAUGUCCAAUCAUUGGUGUUGACAAUAGAUAAGCAUUAAUCAUAUUCAAUCUCUGUAAGAUUUGUUUAAUAUAUGUUAAUUAGUAGAAAAAAAUGCUACCAUCUAUAAAAUGCUUAAUUUGAAGACUAAUACAAAAAGUUAUUUUUUCUAGAAUUUUUAUGUCAAAUUCAUAGAUAAGUAAGUUAGUAGCUAUAAAGCAUAUAGAUCUAAUAUCCACUAGAUUAAGAUCAUCAACAUAUAUAACAAUAAUCACAAAACUAAUUUUAUCUAAUUUGAUAAAAAAAAAAGAUUAAUGGGUCACUUACAAACUUAUUUGUAAUUAAAUAAUCUCAAUUAUAUUGAUACCACAUGCAUCUAGAUUGUUUUAGAGCAUAUAGGGCCUUGUGUAAUUUAAUACCACAAUAUCGUCCUAGAGUAGAUACAUUUGGAGUUUCUGUGUAUAAACCACGUAGAACUUUUAUAUAAAUAUCUACAUCAAGAGAAUCAUAUAGAUAUGUAGUUAUCACAUCCAUGAGAUGCAUCUCAAGAGUGGCAUGGACUACUAUUCCAAUAAUAUAUGAGAAUGUAAUUGAACCUAUGACUAGAGAAUAUGUAGAUUCAUAAUCAAUGCCAAAUUGUUUGAUAAAUCCUUGGGCAAUAAGACAAGCUUUAUAACAAGUUAUUUCAGCUUUAGUAUCUUGCUUACAUAUUAAUACCAUCUUAUAUCUUGUAGGGUGAUAUGUAAGUAUCCACAAUUGGAUCAAAGAUUUUUUUCUUACACAAAGAGAUAUACUCCUUCUUGAUGGCAUUUUUUCAUUUUAACAAGUCAGAGCGACGCAUUGCUUCCUCAAUGGUUUGAGGUUCAAGAUUCUCUUCUUCAUAAGAAAGAACUUCUACAAUCAUGCAUAUAAAUGAUUCAUCUAUUGUAAUAGAUGGACUAUGCCAAAUGUCAUUUGUAGCACAAUAUAGAAUAAAUAAUUUUGUACUCAACUUGAUUUUUUUCUUCUUAAUAUCAAGAUUUUCUAUUGCAUGAGGUAAAGAUAUAAAUUACAUGGACAUAUCAUCAUUAAUUGAUGGUCCCAUAGAUUUAGUAGGAAUUUCUACAGAAAUAAUACUAGAAUCAGCGCAUGUUAUAGGUUUCUUUUUAUAUGGUUGCUUAGGUGGUCCAUGAGUCUUUGUAGUUUUUAAUGUUAUAACUUUAGGCAUAUUAAUUAGUAGUAUUGUAAUUUGAGUAGGUACAUUUUGAGCCUCAUUAAUAGAAACUCUUGUAAUCUAAGGCAUAUUAUUAAAGCCAUCAAGUGUUUGAUUUGCAAUCUAUUUUAGAUACAAAAUCUUGACAACUUCAGUUUCAGCUAAAGAUGUUCUAGGAUUAGGAUUCAUUUUAAAUUUUUCUUGUGCUUCAAAUAGAAGUAUUAUAUUUCUUUUUUGAUUAGAUACUCCUCCUCAAGAGAUAAGAAUACAUUCUCUUCAAAAUGACAAUUUUGAAAAUAUGCACAUAAUAAUGUGCUAGUUAAUGGAUUAAAAAUACAAAUAAUACUUGGAGAAUCAAAAUCAACAUAUAUGUCGUCUUAUAGAUGAGCUUCAAUGGUAUGCCUUUGAUAUUCUAGUACUAGAACCUAAGCACAGCAAUCAAAUAUAUGUAGAUGAGAUAUAUUAAGGAAAGGACCUAAAAUGAGUUCUUAUCAUGUAAUAAUUUCAAGAGAAGAGGGACAAAGGCAUAUUAAUGUUAUAGCAUGCAAAACUGCAUGAUUCCACAUAAAUGCAGGUAAAUUUGUUUAAAAGAGUGGUCAAGUAAUGAGUUGUAUAUGCUUUAUAAAUGACUUUGUAAGUCCAUUUUGAGCAUGUUCAUAUAGAAUAUAAUAUGUCAAUUCAAUCUUUGUUGCAAUACAAUAGUCUUUACAAGACUUUAAUACAAAUUCUUUUGCAUUGUUCAUAUGCAAUGUUUUGAUAGUAUAAUUAGGAAAAUAUGCCCAAAAAUGAAUAAGCAUAGAUAUUAGAUUGGCAAACAUCAUGUUUUUUAUCAAUAAUAAUGAAACAUGUGAUUGUAUUCCUGAUGCAUCAAUAAGGAUCAAAAAAUAAUAAAAUGGUCCAAAUAUUGGAUUAAUAGGACUACAAAUAUCACUAUGCAAUCUUUCAAGCAUUGGUGGUAAUUCUUGUGGGAGUUCCCAAAUUGAAGACCAAGCAAUCAUCAUACCUUGUACACAUGAACAACAUAAUUCUACAAAAUCUAUAUUUACAAGUUUUAAAUUAUGCCCAAUUAUAUAUAGAAUUAUCUUUUGAAAUAAUAUGGAUCUUGGAUGUGUCAAUGUCCAUGCCAAAAAAAAACGUGACUCUCUGUGAUAUAUGAUGCAAAAUUAAAUAUAAUGAAAAGUUGGAUUAUAAUUUGAUAUAAACUAUUUAUCAUAGUAAAGGCUUUUUCAACAACUUUAUGAUUUUGUGCAAGAAUCAAAACCUCUUGCAUAUCUAGAAUGGUGGUUGAGAGGUUAUAACCAUUGGCAUGUAUAUCUUUGUAGCUGAUCAGACUACAAAAUGCUAAGAGCACAAAUAUUACAUAUUUAUAUUUUAUGAUGGAGCCUACAAGCAAUAAUACCAUUGUUGCUCCUUCUUGGAAAUGAAAUGUAUUUGCUCCAGCCAUGGUCAUCAAAUUUCUAGUUUGCCAAGUUAAAGAUUUUUUAGUAAAAAAUUGUCUAUCCUACAGGAUAAUAUGUGUUGUUGCAAAAUCAAUGAGUACAUCAUUUGAUUCAUUAUUAGAGGUUUUGUCAUUCAUAUAAACCUCUAAAUCAUCAAUACAAAUUAAGUCCUUUGAUGUAUCUAUGAUAUGAACUUCACGAGCUUCAGUUCAAAUUUUCUUAUUUUUUUAGAAAAAUUUAAUAAAGUAUUUUGAAGUACAGCAUACAUGUACUAAAUAUCAAAUCAUACCAUAUUUAUGGCAAAAAUGUAUCUCUAAUUUUUGUUUUCUAUUAUAAUUAAUAAUAAAACAUUUAUUCUUUCCAUAUGAGUGAAAAUAGUCACAACCAUGAUUAACUUGGUGCUUAUGAGUACCUUUUCUAUAUUUGUAUAAUUCUUUCUUAGACUUUGAAAUAUUAAGUGCAUAAAAUUUUAGAAUUUCAGUUCCAAUAGGAUGAGCUUCCAUAUUAUGUAAAAGUAGUUUAUUCUAUUUCUUCAUAAGAAAUAGAUAAGACAUGAGAUCAAGAUGACUUUGAAAUUUCAUGUUUUUAUAUUGUUGUGCAAGCUUAACAGAUAUAGGAGGAAAUAUAGAGAGAAUUUUUUCAAUCAUUUCUUCUUUAGAGAUGCUUUGUUCAUACAACUGUAGUUGUCAGUCAAUAUAAUAUAUUUCAUUGUUGAAAGCAUUUAAAUUUUGAAAAUCCAAGACACGUAAAUGUAUCCAAUCAUGACAUCACAUAGAAGGAAAAUGGUCUUUUGAUGAUCAAACCUAUAUUUAAGAUUCUUCCAAAGCUUGGUUAGAUCUCCCAUUUCCAAAUAUUGAUAUUAUAAUAUAAAUAGAAGAUGACAAUGAAGGAGAAGAAGUACUUUUCAACAAAUAGUAAUAGGAAUAAAAGUACUUACUAUAAGAGAUUCUUCAAAUAAAAUUACAUCCAAGAAUUGUUCUAUAAAUAAAUUUAUUUUUGCCAUUUUUAUCCAUAAUAGAUAAUUAUUUCCAUCAACAUCCAAUAGUGGAAAUAAAAAAGCUUGAAAAUAUUGGGAUAUAGUGGUGAUAGUUGGAAACAUAGUAGAGGCAAUUGAGGAUGUUGAAGCACUUAUUAUAAAUAAAUCUAUUAAAAAAAUAUAAGAUCAAGUGAAAAAAGUUGAAUAAAAUUCACCUUAAAAUGUAAAGUCAAAUAAAAUAACAAAGCUGAAUUUGAAAUCAAAAAUAUUAAAAAAUUUAAGAAGAUAUAUAUACAUAUAUAUAUAUAUAUAUAUAUAUAUAUAUAUAUAUUCUACAAAAAUAAAGAUUUGCAAUGGACUACAACGGAUAGUGACAACAAUAGCAGACAGUGAUGGUAGAUAAUGAUAAAAAACAACGAGAAUGACAGCUGAGAAUGAUGGCAACAGUGACUACGGACUACAAUUUGGUGGUAGGGUUGUGAAGAUAGGCAAAAGUAGCAAUAGUUGGUAGGACGCAACUAGCAAGACGUAGUAAGUUACAAGCAAGCAAGGUCAUACAAUGUAAGAAAAAAAAAUAAGAAGAAGGUAUAGGACAAGUUGUACACAAGUUUUUAAGAACCAAGAGUAGUACAUAGAAACAGUUUUGGUAAUAAUGAGUUGAGAAUAUUUUAAAGAGACAUAAGAGUAGCUAAAAAUAAUAUGCACACAUAUACAAAAAUACAUACAUACACACACACAUACAUACAUAGAAGAGAGAGUAUACAGAAGGAAAGUGAGCUUCUAAACAAAACUAUAUAUUGAUGUGAUUGUUUUACUUGUAUAUAAAGAAAAAGAGAGAAGAUAAAUAGUUUCUCUCCACUAUAUUUUAAACAUUAUAGCUAUAGUAUUUAUUGUAACUACAAUAAAAGUUAUAGAGAGUGUCAACUAUAUUUAAUAUUCUCGAUACAUAUCAAAGAGAUUUUCUAAAUUUGAGUACUAAUAAAAACCUAGUCAUAGAUUAACAAAUAGUAACAAGCUAAAACCUUAAUUUAGAUCCAAUCCUAAUCCACACCAACCCUAAUAUUUAUAACUUGUGUGAAUGAGAAGCAUAAGUCAUAUCUAGAAAAAAUAUCAUAUAUAUUCCUCAAGUAUGCUAUAAUAUCAAGAAUAUCCAUGUAUUCUUGAUAAUAGCAAAUAUAUUCCUCAAAUUUGUAGUAAUAGAAAAUGUACCUUAAUUGAUGAUAAGUUAUCACCAACAUUUAUUGUUUAUUAUCCAUUGCUCUAUUGCAAUGCUACAUAUGCCUAAUAUCUACAUUAUGCCUUCAAAUUACUCCAACUGCAUUCCAUGAUACAUGUUUGUUAAAUUAAAGUUCUAUAGACUAUCAUCAUAUAUUUGCCAACAUUGAGUUGGUGGUAUGAACAACAUUGCAUUCUUAUUGGCUAUGAAGAGGGUGCCAUUUUGAGAGCCUAAGCACAUGACUCUUAAACAAUUGCAUGUACAACGAAAGAAAAACUUGCAACUUAUAAUUUUUGUUUCAUGCAAACAGUGUUGGCAUAACUUGGAUUAUAAGUGUUUUUUUUAUAUCUUCAUACUCAUUGGUCUAAACCAUCUAUGCAUAUCAAGCACUUGGUUAAUCUAGUAUGGUAGUUAAAUUGAAUUGUGUGCAACAAAGUUUACAAUUUAAUCCAUACAUUAGUUGCAAAUUAUACAAUGGACAUCCUCUCUGUUGUGAACUACCUCUUAUAAUAGCACCUAAUCCAAUUCCUUAUAGAGACCACAAUUGGUAGAAGAUCCUUACACAAAAUGGUAGAUGACAAGAUCACUUCUAUAAUUUAAAAUGCAAGCAAGUGUAUUAUGAUACUUUUAGCAUGAUUCUCUUUUUAAAGCUAGAACUGAAGCUUUGGAUACAUGAUUAGGCUAGGGCACACAACAAAAGAGCACAAAUUAGUGCCAAUGCAUUCUUGUUGUUUCAAACUUGAAGGAUGUUUAAACUGGCUAUUCUUUGAAAAAUUAGGACUUGAAUUGUACUAACAUCCUUGUCUGGGCCUCAGAUGACAAGUAAACAAGAAAUAUUGGUGAUAACUUAUCACUAACAAGGAUACAAUUACUAUUAUCACAAAUCUCAGGAAUAUGUCUGCUAUUAUAAAAAAUACAAGGAUAUUCUCGAUAUCUCAGCAUAUUUGAGGGGUAUGUACAAUAUUUUCCCUUGUAUCUAAACCUUGCAAAUUUCAUAAAGAUUGCUGGAGUUGAGAAGAACUUCACCAUAUGUAACCCAACUUGGAACAUUUCAGUUGCCAUUUAUUUGAACUAACCAAGGGACUGCAGCAAAAUCAAGGUAAACUGUUCCAUGAGUGAUAACAUUUGGACUCAACUUGUUUACAAUUUGCCAGAUCCAACACCCCUACAGUCUGACGUAGAUCCUUCUGCACUAAGUGCACUAGCAAUUUCCACACUACCACCAACUUCUUUGGGGGUUGAAUAUCUUUAACAAGAUUUUGUAGAAUAAUAUAUUUCAUAUAAAUAUGAAGGCGCUUUUGUCAAUUUCUUACUGCCGGAUUUGCAUGAGCUCCAGAAAAAGAUAUUCUUAAGCUCCUUCAAGUUCAAGUACUAACAGAACUUGCCAUUGCUCUUGUUGGUUACACUCAUGCUUAAAACACAUUUCUCUAUUAACGUAAAUCUAUUGUAUUUGUAGGCAAAUUGCAAUAAACAUUACAAAGCCAGAGAUACUUGUUCUUAUGUAUAUUUUUAUAAAUAUCAUAACGUACAGGAUGUUAUUUGACAUAUUACUUUAAAUGAAUUCAAUGGUAAAAUUUACACAAAAAAUGUAAUGUAUACAAAAUAUAAUAUUUUAAGAAUCUUACUUGAAAUUAAUUAUUUUUGUUUUUACUGAUAAGUAUUUCAAGUUGGACAGAAUAUUGAAGUUCUUGCUGAGAUAUAUAUUUUUUGUACUGAUUUUUUCGAAGCUCAUUUUGUAAAAUAUCGACGAUUUCGGAAACAGAUUUUUAGAUUCAUAAAUAUUUGAUUUGCAAGAAUGACGUACAAUCUAUUCAUAAUUAUUGAAUAUAUUUUCAAAAAAUAUUUAAACACAUUCUUAUAGUGUGAUGGAUCGUGCAGAAGACAUAGAAAACUUCAAAGAAAUGUUUAGAAGGUUGCAAAUUGGAACUAUUUUUUUUUUUGUUAAACUAGAAUUGUGAAUCAUUUGAUUCUGGUCUCAACUCAAUAUAAAUGUCUUAUAGAAUUCUGAAUAAUUUUUUUAUUAUAAUAAUAUUUAGUGUAAUAUUUUUUAAAUCAUGAGUAAAAUCAGUACAAACAAACCUAAAGUUCAAUUAAUAUACAUUCGUUAUAAUCAUAAUCAUGACCAGUAUAAUAUUUUAAGAAUAUUCAUGCAUUAUAUUUUUAGAAAAAAAUGAAUGUUUUUUUUCACAUCAUUACAGACAAAUAAAAAAGAUUCAUCUUUGAACAAAAAAACUGCAACAACAACUCUUGUGAACAUUAACUAAUUCGGAAACAUCCUCUGUAAACUGCAACUACCGUUCUCUUACUUUGAGAAUAGUUCUUGUAAAACUGAAGCUAAAUGUCCCUCUGGAGACACCAACUCAUUCCUCAAAUCAAUAAAAUAGAAAGAAAUUUUUCGACCAAUGAAUGCCCCAGGUCACGCCACUUCUCACCAAAUGAUCCUUAUUUCUUCACACAAAAGCCAUCCUCCCUGUCAUGUAUAACAAACACUGUCAGUGAACAGAUAAGAUGGUGUAGCAACAUUCAACAGCAGAAUGAUCUCUGGCUUGUUAUCAAUGUCCCACAGUUUACGAGCUCCAGAGCUGUUGAUCCGCCGACAGUAGCCACAACAAAACAGCAAACACCCCCAUCGCCGGAUCUAGCAGCCGCCGAGCAGCAAAACAGGUGACAGUACCCACAUCACAAACAAGAAUAUAAUAGAUGGAAAAACAAAAACAAAAACAAAGCAUUAAACCAGGCUGGCUACUUGGGCACAUGGUCUCAGUUGGGUCUGCCUCACAUGGUCUCGUUUUCCACAUAGUGGCACCGCGGCAAUGCAUGAAUACGCCGUCUUCGUGCAAUAUGUAUAAUAAGCAGCGGGUGGAUCGCUUACAGUCACGGAUCGGAAUGAAUGCCUAGUUGGGGUGGAAUGAACACUAGCUCGGUGUGUCUGUCAGGCUGUGUCUGUUUCUGAGACUUGUCUGAUCCGGGUCGCACUGACAACGAUCUCAGUGGGGAAGGCUUGACUGUCACGAAUCAUGUGCAGAGGCAGAGACAGAGGUAGCAGCAUCUCGAAGGACUUGGAUGAUACAGUUUGUGUGAAUAGUUAGGGUGUGAAUAAGCCGUUUCAUGGUUGCGUCCCUUGGAUACUAGUACCCAACUUGCAGUGCGCUUUCAACGAAGUUCUUGUGGAGUCUGGUGGUUUCUACACCGGGUGACUGUCACCGCUACCACUGAAGAAUAAUUGCAUCGGAAGUGCGACUACGUAGUUGACGAAGUGGCGUCCACGAGGAGAAAAAGGGGGACGUGUAUUAUUCAUUAUGUAGAGUGUACCUGGUAUUGCCACGGAAGUAAGUCACAGGUGACCAGCGACUUGCUCUGUGAGCUUUAAGUUGCGGUGAAUCUGCGCGGUUUGAAUAUCAGGAUUUGAGAUCUUAUGUUGGAGGGGAUAAGUUCGUGUCUGAUGAACUGUUUCUCACGUCUCAAGGUCACUUUCGCGGUAUCCAUUCAAGCUAAUGCACGGAUUAAAACCACGGCAAAGCUUCUCAUGAAGGUGAUAACCUCGGCUUUCAGAGGUGGGUUUCCAAGUUUUUAUUAGUUUGCAAUGGGUGUUAUGUGACGUUGAAACGAGGUCAAUUGUUUUGAACUGUAGCCUGACUUGGAGUGGAAAUACUGCGUUCCACAAUAAUUGAAGAUUUCAUCCAGUGGAAGGGCUCUCAUGAAGCAAUCAUGGUCGGAAAGAUCAGGUGGCGUGUCUAACUUCGGGAUACUAUCAAUUUGUCGUCCGUGCGAAGGCAUGGGGCCCUGCCUCUGUACACAAGGUUUGUGAUCUAUUAUAAACAAUAGUUCUUAAAUAACAUCAAGGAAUUUUUGAGUUCUUUCACAGGACAAAUUGCUCGUCACUGUAACGGAGUUGAAGAAACACCUUCUGAGUCCAAGCGCUGAGUCUCGCAUCGUCGUCGAAAUAAUUUGAAAUUGGUUCACAGAGUGUUGCUCAGCAGCAGAUCGAAUGGUGGUUGUUGUUCCUGCUGAAGUCUUCUUGGUUAAAGCUCUUUUGUUGCUGCCUGAGGGCCCUUGGUAGCUGGCUUCAUGUAGAGCUUAUGUGGCCCAGAAUUCAUAAGAAGAGAUUAUCAGACUCAACUUAUAUCGGUAAAGUGUUUACCAGAUGAGUCGGUUAAGAUUCGAGGGAUGAACUCGAUGCAGAGAUACUGCAGCUUAACCAGAGAUUGUCAAUACUCGGUUUUAUGUUCACCGCUGAUGAGCCAAUGCUAGACGUGCUCUACAGUAACCUCUCCAUUGCACAUUUAGUACACCUCUAUCAUCUAGAAGCUCAUUUCGUUUUCAAGUCUUGCGAAGCAGAACGUGUUGUUGACUAUGUUGAAUCUACUGUUCCACUUCGGACUUUAUCUCCAGACCAGAUUUCUGUGAUAGCUUUAGGUUAUGCCUUUCAAACCAAGAAAUGACUACACCUUCACAUCAAUCAUCGAAAGUUGGAGGGUGCUCGAUUUUAACAAAGUGUGUUCACAUGCGUAAAGCAACAGAGGGCCAUUCCUGGAGCACAGUUAGGUUGCAACUUGAAUGAUAAAGAGAUAGAGUUUGUUUAUUUGUGUUGAAAUCACUGUGCUUCGAACACACUCUGUGUCAUGUCCCACUGUUGGCAGCAUGUUUACAAAUGAUCACUAAAUUGUGGAGUAGUAGUUGAGGGAUGAUGUACAGGUCUUAUCUUCUGUUAUGAUAUAAACGGCAUGCCGGGAACAUCAUCUUUAACUUCAAGAAUGAGCUUGCAAAUAUUCUGGAGGUUCAUCCCUACAAAUCGGUAAUAGGCUGCCACUGACCACGAGGCGGUUCGACCAACAUGUUAGCAAGCUCAUUGUGAAUUAUUUCCUUCCGAACAUAUUCAAUUUCCAGCACAUUUACAUCUUGUCAUCUGCCAAUGUUGCUCACUGAGAUGAUGGGGAUAGUGUUACGCAGGUUGAGGGUAACUGAGGAUCUCCUCUCUACUACUAAUGUCCUUGACUUUUCGUCACCCGCAAUUUCUAAAGUGCAGUCAGACUUUUGAUUAGAACGGCGUUCUGUAUUAAAAGCUGGUGCAUUUUGUACGUGUGUCUAAGGAUGUACACACUUCGCUGCUGUGGGUACUUGCUAAAAUGUCAGCUGAGAUCUACACAACUCCGGUGAGAAAUCCGCACGAAAAAAGGUGGCUGUCUUUGACAAUUUCGGGCGGGUCGAAAGAAACAGUGUCUACAGUUCGGUGAGCACAUGUCAAAAAGAGGGUGCCAAUUACUAUGCACCAUGAUAUAAUCAGCUAGCAGUCGUGCUCGUAGUUCAUUUCUCAGUUCUUUCGAAGGAUUGGGUGGCGCUCUCAUUGUGGGGGCAGAGGCGUUCUACCCUAGGUUUGCAUACUGCAAGCUGAGAUGGGUCGUAAAUGUAGAGAAAGCCUGACGAGUUCUAGACGUAAUAAGUAAGUUUCAUCCUAGACGAGCGGCUCGACUGACUCCUUUAAUUCAAACUUUACACGAAACUUGAAACAACCUAAUCAUUCAAAUAUGCUGCCGCGCAGAUUUGGAAAAUAGAAGAAACGAUGCUCCUUAGAAGAACGACAACGGAUUCCUCCCUCCUAUUCAUACCUCUUUUCACCAGUGUGAUGCCUAAGGGUCUACCCAGACACCGUCAAAUCUGAAACUUUGACUAUUUUAAUCUCAGUUCACACACCACUGACUGCUCAGGAAUUUUCAGAUUUAGAAGAUAACACAAUAUUAAGAUUCUUAAGAAAAACUCAAAAAGAAUCAGGCUGUCAAAUGACUUUGUCGUACAUAUUUUCAGUGGGACGGUGGACGAUGGAGGAAUUGGGAGCCGAGCACUAAGAAACGUGCUCUUACUUUUCCACAAGGAAAUCCUUACUUCUCCUAGAUAAAUGAAGAGAGGGGGUUAGCGCUGGACACGGUGAUGGUUUUGGCAGUGUGACCUUUGAGACCUGAAACUGCGCAGGACUGCGAAUCGAUGAGAUGCCUGCUUACCAACAUCAACCAUGCAAUUCUUAUGCACAAUUAGUGGGGUGAAAAAGGUGACAAGAAUGGCAUAUACGACCUGGUUGCUACAGGAAACGAGCACGGACCAUCUGGCAACAUGGAACUUGAUGAACGGUGUGUUGAAUUGGGCAUGAACAGCAAGGACAUACUAGCGUAUCUCCCAUUCAACUUCGAGUGGUAUUUACAUCACAAUCUUACUGCAACUACAGUAUUUAGCAGUUAAAACCCCUAAAUGCUACUGGACCUUUGCUACAAUAAAGCAGAAGGACGGUUUAAUAGAUGCCUAUGUUUUCGUUUCUUUCCACUGAAGUUUUUUUUUUUUUUUUUUUUUUUUUUUUAAAUUCAUAACUCAUACUUUCAAGAUGUUUUGAAAUGUCAUUUAUGCUGUUUAUUAGAAAGGUGAGAAAGGAGGAGAAAGCAAAACAGAAAGAAAAGCGAAGAGGAAAACAGCGAGAUGGUGCAAUGAUUGUUAAGCAUUAAAAAUUGAGAUACAAAAGCUACUACAGUACAAUCAUUUUUUUUCCAGAUCAAAAAUUCCAACUCACCACGGGAAGGUGGAUUCAUUCACAACCUCCUGCGUCAGAGAAUCCGAAACCAAGUCAUGUCAAACUUACACUCGCCCAGUCCACGCUAGCUGCGCCGGAAGAUACAAUCUGUCUUGUUCCGUCCAACGGCCUCUUCUGCAUUAUCGGCUCGUCGUGGACAAGAUAUCCACACUACCGAUCGCUGUAAUCUCAUCUUGAAAAUUCCACGCGUUACAAAAGCAUGAGCAACCACCGUAUCGAUUCGUAACGCACGAGCAGACAUGAUCAUGUCUCGGGGAGAUCAUUCAACUCUGAACUCUAUGUCGAUGUAUGCAGCAGAAGGGCAUAUAUGUACAUAACACAAGCUAUAUACAAAACCAACUAUGAAUCCCCGUCCAUGAAUAUCCGGCAAGCAUCGUACACGAGCUUCACUUCCCCGCUUGACCUCGAGCAACGUCGGCAUCCGGUUCUGAACCACAAAGACACUUUGACAAGUGCAAUGGUUGCCAUCAUCGAUCUACUGGUAAUAUAAGUCCGGGCCGGGAUGAAAGCCUGCACUACCCCAUGACGAAGUGUCGUCGUAAUUGUGUGAGAAACCGGAAGCAUUGACAGGGUUUCCUGACUCCUCGUCAACAGUGCUUGCGCUACCGUGCUGCACGGAAGGGGGAGAGAGCGAUGGCUUUGUCCCGUCCCAGGCCUGUCGCUUGUUCGGCCUGCUGUGCAUCAGGGCCGUCUCCCAAAAACCUGGCCUUCUGUGCGACCCCGCAGCGGCUUGUUGACGAUGACGAAGCUCCUCCAUGGCGGCAAUCUCUCGGUUCAUGUGUGCGCUCACGGUAGGCUUGCAUUCCCGCUCCUCGACCCAAGGGGGAGCCGACUGCGCUGUUUGUCGUCUCGCCAUCGCUUGCACUUGCUGUGCUUCGGCCCAGAGCGUGGCCUUGUGGAGUAAGGCUACAGCCGCUGGGUCAAGCUCUGGCAUGAACAUCAUCGCCGCGGCAGCGGUCAGAAGAUUGCCGGGGUUAGAUGCAGCUUGCCCCUGGAAGAGCUGAUGGAGUUCUGCCUGUUCAUGAUCAGGAUUCCCCACCGUAAAUGGCAUCCCUGGAAUGCCAUACAUGCCCUCGUUUUGGAGGAGAGCAAGUUGGAGCAGACUAUAGAUUUUAUUAGGAUGGAAAGGUGCCUCUGAAAGUUCGCCGAAAUCUGGAAAGCCAGCUUCAGAAUGUAAGCUCGCUAUGUCCUGGGGGAUGAUCCCCGCCAUGGCUGCUGCAGCAAGGCCAGGGUGGAGAGGGUUGCCGAUCUGCUCCAUUUCGCCGUCGGAGUCGUGGGAUGGGUUGGGUUCGGGACGAUAGUAAGGAUCACUGCGGCUGCGCGAGCGACUGUGCUUCUUGCGUGAUCCGCCGCCGACGGGGACGUUACGUAGCGUACCACCCACGGUCCAGUAGCGCUGGCAAUUGCGGCAGAAGUGGCGUGGCUGGUUGACGCUGUAGUUGUUGUAGUAGCAGAAUUUGGUGUUCAUGGACUGGCAUCGUGGGCAGGGGAGAUUCUUGGGUUUCGGGGCACCAUCAGGAACAGCGGCGUCGCCUCCACUGCCCUUGCUGCCUUGGGACUGAGAAGCGUCGUCUUCCUGUGAGUGGUGCGAAUGCGAAUGGGAGGCCGAAUUCGCCUGCAACUGAGCGUCAAGCUCCUCAUUCUCGUCGUCGAAGCUGCCGGCUAGACGGGCCUGGUGCUGAAGCGGCAAAUGCAUGACUGGUUACUUGGGUACACACCUACUGUAUCUUCAACUUCAAAUUCACACCCAGUUGCAGUGCACUGUUUGAUUGAGCUGCAACUAUCCUCACUCUACACCUCGUCUGAAAUCAACGUAUUCGCGACACUUGCUCCCAAAAUACACAUGAAAAGCAACAACAUACAAUUACAAGCGCAACGCAAGUCUAGAAUUUGGCUAGAUCAACUGAGGGAACGACACUGGAACAGUCAACGGAGAUUUCCCCCAAUUCGGAGAUCACUUGAUCAGGCGGUGCACGCGAACAGAGACCACCUGCAAGCAACAGGAAAUCGUUCCUUAUCUUCAAAAUCUCACCACUCGCAGGCGAACAAUCCACCACCUCACUGAGCCAAGCAAAUUCAAGUCUCGUACACUGUUGGUAUUGAACGCCUGCAGCGGUAAACAACACUACCACAGGGGGCCGAACCAACACAGAAUUGCUCACCAACUCUCCGCCCCCUCCCACCACACCACCCUCACAACGCAAACACAGAACCAGUGCUCACGCUCGCGCGACGAGCGGGCCUGGACCUCACAAAUCCAGCACUCUAAACCAACCGCAACAGCGACGACCACCGUGAUGUCUGUCUGGUCUUGGAAACAAUCAAAUCAAGGUUGACAGCCUCCUACUCCUCCUUCUCGGGGCUCCGUUGGUUUGUCGGUCUAACCCUUCUUAGGCAACGCAAGCGAUGGGCAGCAUGCGGGGCUUGCGUUGCGUGGCGUUACGUUGCGUGAUGUGUAGAUUGAAGCAUUGGCGACCUCGAUCCCCCCUUUCUUCUAGCGAAGCAACUCGAGGCGAAGCUUUCCGCCGCAUUAUGUAGACGGUCCCCCCCCGGCUCAGCUGCAUGAGCGUCGCAGGCAUGGAGAAUGAUGAGCCGACGGAUGAAUGAACAUGGAUGUGGAUGGAUGAUACCAUUGUUAAAUGAAUAAUCAUGGAUGCAUGGAUGAAUGCAUACUCACUUUCGUGGCUUUGUGGUGGUGCUGUUGGAAAGUUGGGUCCCAUUGAAUAUAUAUAUAUAUAUAUAGAUAUAUGUUUGUAUUCCUUGAGAUUAAUUUAUACUUCUGAUAAAUUAUGUGUCAUAUAUAAGCAUAUGUAUUAUAUAUAAUAUGAAAGAGCUUAAGUAUAAACUAAAGACAUUGAGAAGCCUUCUCAUUGGCCAAACAUGAAUGAACUAUAUAUAUAUAUAUAUAUAUAUAUAUAUAUAUAUUGUUUACAGAUGUUUGUGUAAAUUUUGAUGAUAUGUUUUGUAUAUUAGAGAUAAUUUUUUUGCUCUAUUUUUAAUUUUUAAAAUUUUAUUUUCGAUUGAUAAAGUAUAUGUUUGACCAAUAGAAGUAUGGCUAUUAAGAAUCAACUUCCAUGCUAGGCACCAAGGAAAAUGAAUUUUUAAAAUCAAAGCAUUUGUAAAUGAUAAUUUAGGCAAGUCAAAAAAAUUCAACUUGAUGGUUUAAUUUUGUAGCUUAAAAUUCAAAAGUGAUUAGAAUAAUCUAAAGAAAGGCAAUCCAUAGGUAGCAGUAACCAAAGGAAAAAUCAAAUAUUUUCAAAAAUUGUAUAUAGCUUGAAUUAGUUUAGCAACCAAUACACCAAACUAAAUUUCUUUCUUUAAUGCAAAAUUCUUGCUUUAUUGCUAGUCUAAUGUCCUUGCAAUGGACAAGUAACAAGCAAGAAGGCAAAACAUUAUCCUUUAAAUUCAAUCCUUGUGGAUGAUAAUUUGUUAGGUUGAAUUAACUACAAAUUGAAUUUUUAGGGUCGUAUGCAAAACUUGAUUAUUUAUGUAUUUUGUAUUUAUCUUCAUUAUUUAAAUAUUUAUUAUUAUAUUUCCUAAAUAUAUUUGGCAACAUAUUAGAUUUCAAUACUAAGCUUUUAUGGCUCUUCUAUAUUUUAGAAAAUUAUACUUAAGGUCAACAGAAUUGGAUUCAUAAUGUCCCUAGCACAAUUCUAGCAUAAUAUAAAUUCUUUUUUCAGCUUUAGUUUUUUCAAAUUUUAGCACAGCUUCAUUUCAUGAAAUUUUUGUUUUACAAAUAUAUCCUAAUUGAAUCGAAGUCGUAUUGAAGCAAGUAUUGCAACAACACAUACCAUAAGUUUUGUUACAUUUUAUAAUUCUCUACAUAGAAUGAGAAACAAAGAGCAUGUGCACUUCUAACCAAACAAAUGUAGAUUUACUAUAAAAAAUAUAUAUAUAGUAAAUAUAACAUGUUAAAAUAAUUGGAUUUUAAGCCGAAUUGGAAAAAAAUUGUUAUCUCAUCUCAAUUAUUUUUUUAACAAAAAAAAAUACUUGUAUAAAGAUUAUGUUUAAAUUAAUGUUUUAGAUUAUAUUUAAAUUUAAAAAACAAAAUUUACCUUUCAAAAUAUUUCAGGUUGUUUUAGAAAAUCAUAAAUAAGUCUGUUAUUAUUGUCUAUGAGAAGAAUGUCAGAAAGUACACUAAAGUUUACAUUCUCAACAACCAAAUGAAGUCUAAUAGGUAAUCAUUUUUAAACAGGUUAACAAAUAGUAAGCUUUGAAUUUUAAACGAAAACUAAAUUUUUCUUGAAUGAUUUUUAUAUGCAAUACUUUUGUAACAUAAAAAGUUUGUUGUGUGUAUUGAGAGUAGAUGAUGCAUCUUAUAAAAAUCAAACAAUUUUAGUUGAUUCCAUCCACAUAUUAUAUUGAGAUAAAUUACUAAGGUUAAUUGGAAAAAACUCUAUUAAAAUUUUAUAUUCACAUCAAAUUUAUUCUAAAUCUAUGUCUUAAUUAAUCAUCAAAUAAAGGGACUUAAUUUUUUCUAUUCAUGUGAAAAAGUAAGGAAUUUAAUAAAUAUUCAGUGACAUAUUGUAGAACUACUGAAAUGAAAUUGUUACCAUACAUAUAAUUCUAAACAUUAAGCACCUGAGAUUCUUAUUGAAUGAUUAAAAAGCCAUUUUACACCAGAAAAACAAAAAGAUACAUAAAUAAAUAAAUAAUUUUCCUGAUUUUUACCAUUCUUGAUUAUUAGAAAUUCUUCAUUUUAUUGAAAACCUAUUAUAUAUUUUUAAAUUCGAAAAUGUAUACAAAUAUUUAGAAAAUGUUGAAUUGCUAUUUAUACAUUUUUUUCAAUAUAGUGCAUAAAUAUUGAACAACAAAAAUAUUAAUAUAAACACUUGAAAUCCAAGUAUGAAAAUAUCUAUGUUCCACAUGAUUUUUCAUGAUUGUGAAAAUAAAAGCAUAGGGUCUAAUAAUAUGGUUGCUACUGAAGGAAAGAAGAAAAAAAAUGUAAUGUUUUCUAAUAUUUUUCUUAUGCAUAUUAUGCAUUUAUCACUUGCAUUCAAGAAUUAACUAAAACUUCGUAGUCAAUUAACUCUUGUGUGUUAAUCCCAUAUUACUGCUUUCUAUGUGUUUUUUGUGUACAUAUUUUAAAACAUAAGACACUCUAUUAUAAAUUAUGUACUACCAAAUGUGUAAAAUUUAAUAGUUAGCCUGAUUAGUAAAGAGUUUUAAAAUGUGAAAAUAUUGUCAUGAAAUCAUAUAUAUAUAUAUCUAUAUAUAUAUAUAUAUAUAUAUUACAGCUUGCUACUAAUUCAGUUGUUUAAAUACUAUAUAAUGUACAGGUAAAACAAUUAUAUUUACUUCAAUUUUUUACUGGUAAAUUAUAAUUAUAAUUAUAAUUAUAUAUAUAAUCACAUAUAAAAUUACUGGUAAAUUUUACAAAUCGACAAAUAUACAAUCAUGAGUCAAUUGUCUUAUUGCAAAAAAAUAUUCAGUUUAUCAUUGCACUGAUGGUAUGGUUUUAUUUAAAAAGAAAGAAAGGGAAAGGAUGAUAUAUAUAGAUAUAUAUUUAUCUAUCUAUCUAUCUAUAUAUAUUUAUCUAUCUAUCUAUAUAUAUAUAUAUAUAUAUAUACAUACAUACAUAUGUGUGUGAAUGUAUAUCUUUUUAAUACAAAAUGUAAUCAUGAUCACUAGUAUGCAAGUAUAGUAAACAAAAUUCUAGUAAUUCUGAAUUGAUGUGCUUGAACAAGAUUUAUUUUGUUAUUAAUAUUUAAUAGCAAGUCAUUAUCAGUGUACAAAUAUGUUAGAUUUGAACCAAGUUAAAAUUUAAAAAUUAUAAACUAAAUUCUCAAUAUUUUAAAUAUUAAAAACAAAAGUACAUUUGGUUACUUAUAUGUUUAGUUGUGCAGAAUACAGCGUAAUUUUGCAAUGUUGUUAAAACAUAUGUUUGUCAAUAUAUAUAUAUAUAUAUAUAUAUAUAUAUAUUUAUUUAAGGACACUUGUUUAUCAAUGUAAUUGGACUCACCAUUGGAAAGAGGACAGGACAUUCAUUGGAUGAAUAUAAUGGAUGAAUGAAUACCUUCCAAUAUGUUCAAGGUUCACUGGAUGAACGAACACAGAGAAGGAGAAAAAGCAUUCAUCAAGCAUCCAACUCCAGAGAGAGUCCGACAUUCGUUCAUACUUCAUUCAUCUUCUCUCGACUCAUCCUCUUUCUUCAUCCAAUACCCGCCGGUCAACCCAGCAGUCGUACACCUGUCAACGUUGGUCGUUUAAUUUGGUCAACGCAUAUUGCCCGGACCGGGGCUCGGGCAGGGCUAGGCAAGGUAGGGAACGGGCAGAGGGGUUGCUGAGCUGGUGGGGUGGAGGGGCUGAGCUGGUAGAGAGAGAGAGAGAGAGAGAGAGGAUGGUGGGGCUGAAUUGCAGAGAGGGGAGGGGGGAGUGGUGUGUGCCUUGGGUGAUGAUGACUGUUCCAUAUGGAUUGGUGGCACCCAUUGUUGAAACCCUUGAUGGAUUCGCCAUGGAAUGCCUUUUUGACCCCCCUCCCUCCCCCCCAAUGUCUCUCUCUCUCUUUCUCUCUGCCUUUUUGACCCUCAAUGCUUUUGACCACACCUUCAUUGCUCCACACACACACACACACAUAUAUAUAUAUAUAUAUAUAUUGUAUAGAGUGUAUAUAUAGUGUAUAUAGUGUAUGUAUAUAUACAAUAUGUAUGUAUGUAUGUAUGUAUGUAUGUGUGUGUGUGUGUGUGUGUGUGUAUAUGUAGACACAAACAUAUGGUAACAGGAAGAGGUUGACUCAUCCAUCACUUAAAGGCCAAAUUCAAAUGGUUUGCAGUUUUGGAGACACUGAAUGUCACUCUCUAACACCCACACCCACACACACACAGAGAGAGACAACAGUAUGGGCUGAACUGUAUGUGUUUAUGUAAAGAAAAGUAGUCAUUGAGAUUCAAGGUUGUGGGGUUAGUCAACUUCAUGACAUGGUACAAGGAGGGGACUCAUUGGGUUUAUUUUUUAUACUACUGAGGAAAACAUUCUCUCCUACUUUGACCCCAAUCUUCAACAUGAUCAAGCAUGAGAAAAUAGCAUAUUUAUGCUUCUUAGAGAGGCACAAGUUUUCCAGUUCAUUCUUGCAAUCUCUUCUUUACACUCACCCAACCCCACACAAAAAAACAUCACAAAAACUCAAAAACUAAUACAACUCUAAUACUAAUACUAAUACUAAUAAAAUAUUUAUAUGUAAAUACCUAUUUUUGGUUUAUUGGAAGACCACUCAUUUAUUCAUCCAUCCAUUCAUCCAUUCAUCCAUGGAUGGGGAUUUUGGAGACCACAAAUGAGUUAUUGCAUUAUUAUGGACCAUGCAAGCAGCAAGCCCUUCAUCAUGGUGGUGACUCAAUUCUACUCACUUGCACCUCCAAGCAUGGGAGGGGGUGAAGAGGAUUGGAAUGAAGAAACACCAACCCUAAUCCAUUCAUCCAUGUAUAUAUUCAUCCAUCCAAAAGCAAUGGUUGAUGGGUCUUGGCAUUGAAGUACAAUGGGGACGGUGCAUUAUUGGGGGGUGGUGGUGGGACUCUGCGGCCUCAAGAGAGUGCUUUAUUUUACUUUGGUGGGAUGCCAAAAUGGAUGACAAGAUGGCCCUUCUCUCUCCACUGCACCAACCCUACACCUUCAUGGCCCCCCUUGCUGAUGUGGCAUUGGUGGUGCUGAUGUGGCAUUGGUGGUGGUCCUAGUUGGCACCCAUCUCUAUUUAUGCGCACUUGGAAUUGGGAAGAGGGGGGGGGGGUCCAUGGAAGAAGAAGAAGAAGAAGAAGAAAAAAAAAAAAAACUUGUAAACAUGUGAUUAGAAACAUUUGUAAGAAGUGUGAGUUGUAACAAAACUGAAAGUAGAGAUAACAAAACAUCACAACAUUGUUGCUGUUUUUGUUGUUUAUAUCCCAUGAAAUGCAAUGGUGUGCAAGUUUUGUAUGUUUGUGAAACUUGUGUGUCCGUGAAUGCUAACAAUGUUUCAUUAUUGAUUUUCAUCAUGUUUUUAUUUUUAUUUUAUUAUAAAUUUCUACUUGAUUUAUGCUUCUUUCUCUUUCAUUCAUUUGUCUGUGUGUGUAUGUGUGUGUGUAUACACUUUGAUUUUGUACCAUGCUCAAGAAAUAGCCUGAAAAUCUAAAUUACUGAAUGUGAGAAAUAAGAAGUAAUGCUUACAAGCAAAGACAUAAGUUCUAAUAAACCAAUAGCCAUCACAUUCUAUCAAUUUACUAUGAAAAACAUGCUCAAUUUCCAUGGCCAGUUUUAUGGAAAAUUUCAUUUACUUGAAUUUUUAUUAAGUUACAAACCAUGAAUUAUUUGGAUGACAUUUGUUUUUUUUUUUAAGUAGCUUGAUGGAUGUUAAAAAAUUAAAUAAAGGUCUUGCAAGAAAUAUGUGUACUAAAAAUACAUAAGGGUUUGCAUUUUACAAUUUUUCAACUUAAUUUAAAACAUCUUAUGACAUAACUUCAAAUGAAAUAAAGGAUUGAUUUAAAUAAAUAAGUUGUAUGCAGAAGGGAUUCUUAAACUUUUGAUGAAAUUUAAGCAUUGCUUAAAAAAUAACUAGAGAUUUUAAGACAUAAUGUCUUAGUUGGUACUUUAAAUUAAUGGUCUAAUAAUGGUCUAAUAAUGGUCUGAUAUAUAACAUUGUUUCAAUUCUAAUAAGACUAAAUAAAAUUAUAUUUGUAUAAAUUAUUGACUCAAAUAUGAUAUAUUUGUGCAAAUUUGUGGAAAAAUUGAAUCUAAUUUAAAGAAAUUAAAGAAUAGUUAUGCUUCUAAACUUAAAUUAUUAAAAUAAAAUAAAAAAAGAAAAAAAAGAAGUUAGAAUAUCAUGAUGAUAGACAUAUGAAAUUAAAUGGUCAAGCUACAAAGAUGAUUUUUCAUUUCUGUUUCAAAUGUGUUAGAAAAUAGGUUACAUUAAAAUAAAAUAAAUUAAAUCAAAUAUUCGUCUUUAUUAAAGCAUCUUAAAUUUAUCAUAUUAUUUUGAAUUAUUCUUUGCCUUCUUAAUAAUUUAGAUAUAUAUAUAUAUACAUAUUCGUAAACAAAAUAAGAAAAUAAAAUAUUUUUUUAAUAAAAAGUACGUAGUUAUUAAUUGAACUAAUGAAUUUGUGCAUUAAUCAAUUAGGUUUUAUUUUAAUAUCAUACAUAGAUUAUGAUAGAUGUACACCAACCACAUGAAAAAAUAUUCCAAUACUCAAUCGUACAAAGACUGAAAGAGUAUUGUAUUAUUUUCAUAAAAAUAUUUUAAUAUUAUAAUACAGGUAUGAAUCCAAAUGUAAAUUUUUCUUUUCGAAUGUUAAUUUUUUAAAAAUAUAAUAUUAUUAAAUAUCCUGUUAUAAAUCCCCUGUUAAUUUUUCUAUUUUUAUAGUAACACUAUAAAUACAAUACAUGCAAAUAAAAUUUCAAAAACAAAGCUUUUAAGCAAUAGUCCUUGUAAAUUCACCUUCAACUGUAAGUAAGUACUACAAUUUUGGACUCUAAUCUAUAAGCUAUCAACAAAGAAGACAAUUUUUUUUAUCUAGAACACAUAAUUCUUAAAUACAUUCUUCUGAUGCAAUAAUAUAUAUAUAUAUAUAUAUAUAUAUAUAUAUUGAAUCUAUUUUAUUGGUACUACAUUCUAAAAAUAUUUUUUUAUGUGUUAGUAGAAAGUUCAAUAAUAACAUAUUAUGAAAAGUAUGUAAAAAUAUAUAAUAAUAUAUACUUUAUAACUAAAUACAUGAGUGAAUUAUACAAUUUAUAAAUUAUACUCAUGAAUUUGAACAGAUCAUGUUUUAUUAAACUAGGUAAUGUUUUUUAAAAAAUAAUAUCAUUUAAGCAUAUAUGAUUGUAAAUGCUCGAGAAAUUAAUACAAAGAUGAAGAAAAAAAAAAAACAAAACAAAACAAAACAAACAAACAAACAAACAAAGUUUCAUGCAGUAUUUGUGUUUUAAAACUAUAUAAAAUGUUUAGAAGUAGUAGAUGUUACAUGUUGUGAAACUCUUGAAUGCUAAAUUACAUGCAAAUUCAAACAAACCAAGUCAAACAUCACCUGGGAAUUAAAGACCAUUCCCUGUGAUAUUUUCUUCAAAAAAUAAAAUAAAAUAAAAUAAAACAAUUAAAAGUCCUUGCAAAAUCUAUCAGAGAAAGCAACACUACAAAAAUCAAACUUGAUACAAAAGUGAUCUAUGAAAUCAUGUGUCUAGAGUACAGGACAAAAAGGGUGCUUAUAUAUUUAACCCAUUAUUCUUUUAUUAUAUGUAAUUAAAUAAUAAAUUGGUUAACUAAUAUAUAUUUUUUAUAUUUGAUUAAGUAAAAGAGUUUGUACUUUUUUGUUUUAUCUUGUGUACAAAUGAGUGACCACUUACAUGUUGAAACGUACAAAGCUUUUGCAUACAAUGUCAUAGAAUGUGCAAAAGAAGCUCCAAACACCACAAGCUAUGCACCAUUUUCAUCAACCCUUUUAUUUAUUUAUUUAUUUUUUAUAGCCAUUGAAAAUACAACUUAGGAGUUUGAUUUCCUCCCAUUGACCAUUUUGACCUACACAAAAACCAAAAAGAGCAAUUCUAUAAAGAUAGAAUUCAUUCAAUCCUACACAACUAUGGUCUUUGACUCUAUUUUUCAUCUAUCUCCACAUUGCCAAAGUUGUAUUGUGUAGGGCACUUUUUCAUGCACACAUGAUGUGCACAAAAGUAUUUUUUAUUUUGUUCUUUCCAUCUCCUCCAAAAAAAAUUGAUUUAAUAUAGAAAAAGAACCAUUGUGUGAAUCACACCUACAACAAGAUAAGACUUGUGUUUGAAAGAAUGCUUUUUGUAGUUGUAUGGGUGAACUACCAAGUGGGGUACUCUUGGUGGCAAUUAUAUGUACAUUAUAAAAAUAAAAAUAAAAAGCCAAGAUGAUGUUUUAACCCACAAGUGUUGGAUUGACAAGUGAUGAUGCCCUUGAUGUUGAAAUUGGGUUAAAUUUCCAUAUAUGAUCUAAGUCAACCUUGUUGACCCACAAAAACAAGAAAUAAAGUCCUGUUAUGUACUUUCAUCAUAUUUUGUUAAGAAGUGUACGAAGAAGAUUCUCAAUCUUGUUGUAAAGUUUACUUAUUUAUUUAUUUUUGGUUUUUUCUUUAUUUUUAAAGUUCGUAUAUUUAUAUACAAAUUACACACAUUUUAGGGUGUUUAAAGAUAUAUACAUGUACAAUUCACAUAACACAAUUUUUAAGUACAACAUACAUUCAAAAUAUUGAGAUACAAGCAAAACAACCUGUUAUUAAUGGAAGUUGUAAUCAAAUGCAUUAAAAAAUUAUUAGUUUAUUUAUUUAUGAAGCAUGUAGGUAUUAAUUAUUAUCUUCUGUAUGAUUUCCCAGAAACAAAACAAAAUGAUCAAAUAUUCAGUGUUUUCAAAUGAUUAAAACCAACAUAAAUUUCCCUAUUGUCUUCUCCUCAUGAUUUAUCAUCUAAGAAAAUUGAUGAUGUUGCAAUUAUAGCAUGUUCUUGCAAAAGUAAAUUUAAUUUUAUCAAACUUUCUUUUUGAUAAAUGAAAAAAGUUAACAAGGAUGAGGUUUUGGAUGUAAUAAAUGUAUUUAAUUAGUAAUUCGUAGAAUGAUCCUUUUUUCUUUUUAAGAAAUUCAUUUUAUGAUAAUUAUUCAAUUAUUUUACUAUUAAAGGAAACGUCAAUUUAAUUCAAAAUUGAAAAAACAUUUAACUUGCACAAACAUCAUAAUCUCAACUUGAUAUAUGACUAUUUGAGUCAAACUAGAAUUGCAUCAAUGACUUCUUUCAACAGUCACUAAUUUGCUCCACUCUAAUUAGUAGUAAAAUUAGUCAACAUAAGUUUUCAUUUCAAUGAAAAUCAAACUCAUAUGAAGAUCAAGCAGAAAACAGAAUAAAAUCCAGGACAGGAAACUAAGAAGUCAAUAUAGGAAUAAAAAAGUACCGUAAAGCAAUACACAAAGUUUGAAAGAGUAUGAAAGCUAUUAAAUAAAUAUUAUUCGCCAUGCACACCUUGCUCAACACCCCAAAUUUGCAUUGUAAAGUGUAUAUAUAUAUAUAUAUAUAUAUAGAUAGAUAGAGCUAUUUUUUAUAACUUGGUAUGUCAAUGGAUGUACAAUAUUAAACAAUCAUAGUAGAAUUGAAAGCCUUGUAUGUUUGUAUGGGUGCGUGUAUAAAUAUAUAUAUAUAUAUAUAUAUAUAAUACAAAAAUGAUUGUGAAGCUUAUUUAGUCUAUUUUUCUUCUGAAUUAUAGCUGGUGGACAUUGACUCACAAUGAUUUUAUUGGUAUAUAUAUAUGCACACAGAAACAUAGGAUAUUUUCCAUAAAUAUUUGGAACUUUACAUUAUUGUUAUUUAAAACUAGUUUUAGAAUUGGCUGAUAAAUAUGUACCAAUUUGUACCAUUAUAAAUUAUGAGUGUAUUUUUGACGUGCUGUUUAUGACAUAGGUUUUGUAGAACUGGUAAAAUGAAAACAUAAACGUAAGGAUGUUAUGAUUUCUUUCCUUUUUUAUUUUAAUAAUUAUUUAAUAAUUCUUUUGUUGAUACAGUAAGAAUUUAAACAAUUGAAGCACAAGAAUUAAAAUCACUACAAAGAGUUUGUAAAUAAAUCCAAAGAUUCAUAUUAUUUAUAUAAAAUUCAAUAAACUGAAGAAAAGGUAAAGAUUAUUGAAGUUUUUAGUAAUAUAAUACAAUUUUUCUAUUGUUUAAAGAAAACUAUCAGUUAAUUUAUUUCUUAAAAAUAGUUAUGUAUGAAGUGAAAUUAAAAAGAUAUUUUCUUUGUGAUGAGAAAUAAAAAAGGAAUAUAUGUUUCAUUUUUUUUUUUUUUUUUUUUUUUUUUUUUUACAAGAAAGCUACGAUAAAAACAUGACUAUGAUAAUCUGUGGAAUAUUAUGUUUUAUGUUAGUAGUAGUAACUAACUAAUUUAACUCUCUAUCUCUCUUUAUAAACAUAAAUAAAUAAAUAAAUAUGCUUGAAUAAGUCGUAAGUGUUUUUAAAACAGAAAUUAGUGUGAUAAGUAUUGUAGAUGUCAAAUUACAUAUUUGUAUAAUAAAACCCAUUUUCUUUAAAAAGCUAUUUUUUCUUCUGAUGUUUAAAAAAGCAUCUGUACAAAACAUAAUCUGGAUAUGUGAUUUGCUCUAGAAAAUUAUUUGUAUUUAUGAUAAACUUACUUUUGUACCUCAUAUACAUAAUGUCAAUGAAAAAAACUAGAUUAAAUCUUUGAAGUUUCACGUCUGAACUUGCAAAAUUCUCUUGAGGUGUUAAAGUGUCAAAUAAAUUUCAUUAAAUAUAUAUAUAUAUAUAUAUAUAUAUAUAUAUACACAUAUAUAUUUAAACAAAUUUGAAUCUUGAUACUCAAAAAUAAAGAUACAUUUUCUGUAUUUAUACCUUCAAAUUCAUAGUAUAAAUGGCUGUUUGGGUUGUUGUACUUAAUAAAUUGUAAUAUAUAUAUAUAUAUAUAUAUAUAUAUAUAUAUUUAUGAUUGAAUUCAAUAUAUGACAUAUUAACAAAAAAAAAAAAAAAAAAAAAAAAAAAAGUGAUUUCGUCUAAAUACUGAUGUUUAACAGUCCACAUUAUUUGUGAAGAUUCAUGAAAGAAGAAUAAAUGAUUUUCAUCUAAUUCUGAAUUUAGAACUUAAUUUCUUUUCCAGAUAUUAACCAAUGGUUAUCAGAAUACUGAUAUUUUCAGUAUACCAACUUUUACGUGAAAAAAUUUCAGUACAUUCUUGGUUAAAUUACAUUAGAUUAUAAAAUUCAGAUACUCAAAAAAGACUUUGGAUUGAGAUGAAGCUUUUUCUAUGCUGAUUAUAAUAAUAUUAGAGUUAUUUAGAAAGAAAUCUAUAGAAAUUUGGAGUGGCAAGGUAUUUUCAUUUUAUUACUAUUAGCAACGAUCAUAUGCAUAUGUUCACUGGUAAUACCAGAGAUUCUAAUUGAUUACCACAACUUGGAUUCUCCCUAUUAUUAUUAUUAUUAUUAUUAUUUUGUGGUAAUGUUUAGGUUACUAAUAAUUUUGUGAAAUUUAUGAUUAUUUUCUCUAUCACUAUUUUAUGGGAUUUUUAUGAUAAAAUAACUUUGACUAAUGUAUUUUAAUUAUAGCACUGCAAUGUCAUCAUUAGAUCUCUAUAAGCCUAUUAAUGUCAUAUAAAUAAACAAGAUAUUGUUUCACAAUAUUUUAUUAUCCUAAAGUCCAAAGAAAAUGUAACUACAUGUAGAAGGUUGUAAUGUUACAACCAUGUCAUUUAUAUAUAUAGAUAGAUACAUAUAUUUGUUUUUGACUUUUAAAUGGCUAAUCAAUUGCAUUUGAAUGAUUAUUGUACAUUGUAGAAUGUGACUAUCCAUAUGAGUGGAAUUAUGUACAAAACAUAUUUAUUGUCUCCUUAAAAAAGAUAUAAAUGUCAAUUUUAGUACUAAGUUAUAGUAUUUUUUAAAAAUUAAUGAAUAGGUUUUUUUAAGAAUAAAAAAUAAUAAAAUUAAUAUAUUAAUAUCAUAUUCAAAUUAAGAUUUAAUAGUCCGAAUUAUAAAAAGGCAUCUUAUAAUAUAUAAUUCUAAAUAUAUAUAUAUAUAUAUAUUUAUUUAUUUUGUGUGUGUGAAAUUAGAAUUAUUGAAUUUGAUCAACAUAUUCUCAAUCAUAUAUCAUCUUAGUUGAUAAUUUUAACAAUUUUGUUUGUUUUCUCUCAAGAGCUGGUUUUUUCCAAAAAGAAUUCUAAUAAGAAAACUAUUUCUAUCUAGAACUAAAUAUACUAUUUUUUUAAUUAUUAAAAUGUGCUUUGUCAAAAUAUAGGAUUGUAUUUAUAUAUUGAUUUAGACAACCUAAAUUUACUACAAAAAGUUUACAUCUAUACCUCUAUUUCUACUUGUUUUAUUAAAUAUUCAAUAUGUACAUUUUUUAAAAACUAAAAUUUUAUGAUAUUGUAUUAAUUAUAUAUGUAAAUAGUUUUAUAUAAUAAUAAAAAAUAUUUUAUCUUUAAUAAUAAAUAUAGCUACCAAAUAAGUGUAAUUUUUAUUUAAUUAAAUAAGAAAACCUUUACCAUCUUUUUAAAACAAACAUAAUUAUAUUUAUAGUUAAAAAACUAAAACUUCGAAUCAAAAUAUUAGAUUAAGAGCUGAGACAACUAUAGAUCCAUAUGCAUAUAAUCACUACAAUGUGUGUGUAUAUAUAUAUAUAUAUAUAUAUAGAUAAUACUUUUAAAAUAUAAUUUCAUUUUUAACUUUUUCAUUUAAGGAUAUGUAUUUAUAUUUUAUGUACAAUUUUAUUAAAACCAAUUUCAUAUCUGUAUUACUAACUAGUCUCUUUAUCCAAACUUUGUCUGUUAGUCUAUAAAUGCUACUUGGAUGGUCUUUGACCCAACUCAAAUAAAAGAAUUCUAAUAGUAAACAAACACAAAUAUUCUAUAAUAAUACAUAAUUAAAAUAAGAGUUAUCUUUUACUUAAACAAAAUCCAAGUAGUUUUUCUUUUGUAACUACUAUUUUAUUCUAUUUAAAGAUUUUUAAAUAUUUAAAGCAUUUUAAUUUUUAUGACAUUUAAAGAUUUUUAAAUGACUUAAAAUGACUUAAAAUGUCUUAAAAUUCUUUAGAGACAUUUAAAGCAUUUUAAUUUUUAUUAAUUCAUAAUAACUUAACAAGCAUUACUUUAAAAAUCAUAGAUCGAAUAUUUUGUGGUUGCCAUGUUUUUACGAAAGGAAGUUGAAAUUUGCUAGAUAAAGCAGUAAUAUAUAGCAUUUAAAUAAAGAAAAAAAUAAUAAUAAGAAAACUUUAAUUUUCCUAUUGUAUAUCAGCAGAUCAGAAUUUAUUUUUUCAAAUUCACACCAGUGUUUUUAUUAAUGAAAUUUAUAUUAACUUUGGCUGAAAAUUUUGUGGACCCAAAAAAUAACUGUAUUCAUUAUAUUUUAUGGCUAAAUUUUAUUGCCAAAUAUAAGUGUAUGUGUGUUUUUUUUUUUUUUUUUUUUUUUUUUUUUUUGGUUUUUUUCUUAUCUUAAUAGCAAAUACUAGCCGUGAUAUAUUCCGCUUUGAAAUUUUAACAAUACUUGUUGAAAAAUUGGUAUAAUUUUAUGUCUACUAUAUGCUCUUCGUGUGUUUCAUGACUGAAUUCUAAAAGUAAUGAAUUUAUAUAAAUAUUAUGUUAUUAGAAGGAAAAAAAACAAUAAUUUUAAAAAAAGUUGAGUAAAAUAAAAAUGAUCGAAAUUGAUAUAAUUUAUGUAAUAUUAUACAAGAUUUUAUUUUAAAAAUUAGAAUUUAUUAAAUUAAAACAUAUUAUAUAAAUUUUUGUCAAUAAAAUUAUACUGAAAGAAUUAUAAACUUCAAACCAUAACUUAUCUUAAUGUUUUUUCAAAUAUCAAAUUAAGUCUAUAAGAAUAGUAAUAUAUAGGUGUAAUUAUUGGUAAAGAUCACAAUCUGUCAUAUACUAAGAAAUUGAUACAUUUAAAACAAUUACAAUAAAAUAUGUUAUUGUAAUUUUAUGUUACAUAUAAUACCAUCAAUCAUAUGACAUAGUCACAAGUUUGUAGAUUUAUUUUUAAUAAAAAUUAUAAACAUGUAAAUUAUAUUUAUUUAUAAAAUUAAGCAUCUAAUUUAAUUUAUACAUAAAAUUAACUUAAAGUUAAUGGAAGUCAUUUCUUUAAUAAAUACCACAAUCUCUCAAUUUGGUCUAUUGUCAUUUUAUUUGUUAAUAUAGUAUUAAUAAGAUUAUAAUUAUAAUUAUAUAUAUGUAGAGAGAGAGACAUAACUAAAUUACUUAGAUAUUCAUUUAUUGUUUCUAAUUUUGAUUUAUUUUACCUCUACAUGCAUCCAAUUUUUUAAUUUGUACAAUUAUUUAUUGAAUUUUCAUCUAAACUGCAGCUAUCAAGGUAGAAACAACAUAGUGACCAUUUAAAACUUGGUAUAAAAUAAAUAACUUCCUUAAUCAAUCAAGACUGCAUAAUCAAUAUAUAUUUUAUUAGUUGUUAAGAUCAUUAAGUACAAGUAAUAUAAUUAAGAUAGAAUUGAAAAUAGAUAUUCAGACAAAGAUUAUAAGUCUAGAGAAGUGCAUUGCAAUACAAGCAUAGAUAAAGUUAGUUGGUUAUAAUGACAACAUUAAAAAAGACUUGAAAGUAAUUGUAGAAAAAUUAUCUCUUUGAUUACCUUAGAUUUUGCUAGGUAUAUAUGUACUCCAUGUUAGCUAUAAAUAAUAUUGUUUGAGUUAUUGAUGUAGUUAUUUUUAAUAUAGAUAAACACUUAUUUAUCAAUUUAUAACCUUAUUUUUAUUAUUUUCACUACUUUUCAUAGUAUCAUUGUUUUAAAUAAAUGUUUUAUUUGGCAAAGAUAUUUUUAUUCAAUAUUCUUUUCUUAAAAAUUCUAAUAUACCAUGAUAAAGUGUAUAUAUAUAUAUAUAUAUAUAUAUAUACACACACAUAUAUAGCAAAUGCAAAUCAAACAACAAAUUAUGAUGGUAUGUUUGAAUCUUUAUGGAUCGUGUUUAAACUAUGAGGAGAAUUUUUAUUUUUUUAUGUAGAUAAAUUGUUUAAUUCUUUGCAAAGCUUCUAUGGAAGAUGGUAAGUAUAUUACUUGAAGACAUUUGUAGGGAACAAACCAAGAAGAUGUUAUCUAAUAAAUCUUUCAAGAAAACCAAUGGAAGUCAUUAAAAAAAUAUUAAUAUAUACAUCAAAAACAUAUUUGGUUUUAGUAAAGAAUGUUUCCUACAAAGUACUAAUUUUAUAGUUAAUAUAAGACUAAAAAUAGCCAAAUGUGACUCUAUGUACAUAUAAUAAUAUUAUUUUCUAAUUAUGUUUCAUCUAUUUAUUUAUUUUUUCAUUAUUUACUCUUUAAUUUUCUUUAUUUUUCUAUUCUAACUAGUUAUAUCCCUUAGUAUAUUAUAUGUUGGCACUAUGUUGUUAGUUCCCUAUUUAUCUAAGUAUUGAUUUGAUAACACAUUUUUUUUCUCAUUUACUACUUCUUAAUGUACACACAAUUGUAGCAAUAUAGUAGAGAUAUUGUUUUCUACCAGAAGACUAAUAAUUGAGCUACAAUUAAAUUAUUUGUCCAACUCUUUAUAGGAGAAACAACCCACACUCCCCUUCCCACUUUCACCCACAUUAAUGAAAAAUUCUUUGGUUGUGAAGCAAGUAAACUUGAAUAUUAAUCCAUUGUAAAUUCAUUAUCUGAGAUAAUAUCGUUACUUUCUACAAUGGGCAAGCUUCAUUAAGGCAAAGCAAGAAAUGAUAAAAGAUGAAACAUUUUAGAAUUAAUCAUUCAUCAUAUCAUGUAAUAAAAAACUUUCUUUACACUCAGAUAAAACGUCUUCACAGAUAAUUCAAAAUUUAUAAUUGUCCUUCAGAGGAAGAAAAUAACCAAACAUUGGUCUUUGUUAUCAUCCUCCGUAAAUUCAAAAAUUCAAAAAAUAAGAAUUAAAAAGAAAAAGAAAAAGAAAAAAGGCAUGUAUUCUAAGGAUACCCUAAACCCUAAACCCAAAAACGUCCAUGAGCAAAUCCCAACCGAACUACAAAAAAAAAACACACAAAUAUAUAUUUUUUAAAAAAGUGAAAAUUACACAAAAAUCACAGAAACCUCGGAAAGUUCGCCGAAACAGACACAAGCGACGAAAACUGUCAGAAGACGAACGAACGAACGAAACCACAUCGACGUUCGUUCGAUCGAUCGUUCGUUCGUUGCCCGAGAAAGGACACAGAAAAAAGGAUCACAAGCGGAUGACAAAAAGAAAAAGAUCGACAUAUGAAUGAAAAGGAUGAAUGUAGUGCUCUGUCCGAGGCUUAUCCAAGGGAAGGGAGUGAGGGAGCCCCCCUCACGAUGUGAUGAGAGCUUCCUCGCUCCUCCUCAAUCCUCCUCUAUAGCUCGCGAGCUGCCGUUGCUGCGGGAGCAAAUUUGUGGCGAUUUCGGGAGGGAUUUGUGUGUGUUGUGUUGGUAGCAAUGGCAGCCAUGGCAGCGAGCCAAGCGCUGGGGCUCUCCACCCACUUUGCCUCGCUCUCAGUGCAGGAGCCGCGGAAGAAAUUGGCGUCUAUCUCAUCUUCGACUUGCGGGAGCGUGCUGCGUUGCAAUGCGUUGAAGGCCGGCGUGCCCAUGCCGCGUAGGUCUGUGGUGGCGUUGCCCGUCGUCAGAGCUUCCACUUCCGAGGCCGCUGCCGCUGUGGUCGAGAGCCCCGAGAUGGAAGAGAGGCGUGCCCUGGAGGCCUGGGUGAAGCAGCAAUUGCCGGGCGGAUUCGCCGCCGCGCGAUUGAAUGGUACCGGGAGGAGAAAGACCGCCGUUGCGCGAGUUGUGCUUGUUGAGGGCUCAGGGAAGAUUGUUAUCAAUAACCGCACUGCUCAGGUUUGAACUCUUCCCGUCUUUCCUUGAUAUCUCUUUCUGCUUCACUUGGGCUUGGGGUUUGGUGAUAGACUUGCUGGCAUUGUAAUGUGGGUUGAAUUUCCGAAAUCAGGUCAAAACUCUGUGGUAGUGUUGCAUAACCAGUGGGUUCAUUUUUCACACCAUGGUAGUCUCUGUUGGUUUUUCCAUGGCAGAUAGUGAGGCUUUUCUGAUGCUAAUAUAUGUGGUAUUUAAAAACUAGUUAGGCUCUGAAUGUUUGACUCAGCUUCCUCUUGGAAGGUUAGAACUGGACAUGGGUUAUCGUCUUUUGGUGUAAUCAUUCCGCAUUGGGUUUAGAGAUUGAAGCAUCCAUGGAAUGCAUUGUAUGUUCCACAGGACUACCUACAAGGCAACCCAUUGUGGCUUCAGUCUGUGAAGUACCCGCUAGCCAGUCUAGGGUAUGAGACCAAGUACGACAUCAUAGUGAGGGUUGAAGGUGGGGGCUUAUCAGCUCAAGCUCAGGCCAUCUUGCUGGGAGUAGCGAGAGCUUUGAUUGUGGCCAACCAGGCCAACAGAGAUCCGUUGAAAAAACAGGGUUUGUAGACGAGAGACUCGCGUGUUGUAGAGAGGAAGAAAUACGGUCUCAGGAAGGCUCGUAAGGCACCACAGUACUCCAAGCGUUAAAUCUUUCUGGAGUAUGGCCCCGUUUGUUUGCUAUUUUAGAACAAGAUUGGGUUGUUUUUUUGCCCCUUUUGUAAUAGUUUAAAAUUUUAUUCCAAGAUGUAAUUGAUGGUCAUCUAUCAGCUCUUUCUCUUUAAUGACUUCGAUGUCAUGACACACAAGUCACUAGUGCUAUUAUGCAAAGAUGUGAAAGUCUUCCCACUCUCUGUCUUAUCUGCAUGCAAUUCACUUUUCGUUCAUUUUUUUUACAUGUACCUGGUGCUAGUAUUGCGUGAUUUGUGUAAAUAAUGAGAAAGUCGGUGGUGAAUGUAGGUCGCAGCAGCCCAUGUGCUUGGUCUGCCGCUGAUUCCCUUGACUAGAAAUCAGGAUUGAACCAAACGUUAUUGAAUAAUUGUUGGACCGAAUAGAACCGUGCUGGACAUUCUUCUCGUGAUCAUGAACAGCGAGUGUCAAAUGGACCCCUUUUCCUUGGACUUACUGGCCGAAGCCUUGAGUUUCUUCAGUCUUUCUCUGUACUGAAACCCAAUUUGUAUUUCAUGAAGAUCAUUCUGUGCCGAAUAAUCAGCAUGUAUACACAAGUGCAUUGGGUCGAAUCAGUCUGCACAACGAUUGAUGGUUUGCCCUGUGAAAAUACAAUGUCGAUGCUGAGAUUUGGUACCUGAAGUGUGAGCAAAAAAAAAAUAAUAAUAAAAUAAAAUAAAAUAAAAUAAAAACAAAAAAAACAUAUCGCCUGACCUUUGAUCAUUUGAAAUGUUUUGAGUAUUCUUGUGGAACGUAAGGACCUUCUGAACCCUCUCAGUUUUGGCUGUUAAGAAUCAACCUCUAGGUUGGAGAUUAGGGAGAAUAAAAAUGGGAAAUCGAUAUUCAUCCAAAUGAAGAAAGACUUGGCAGAUCUAAAUAGAUAUAUAUAUAUAUAUAUAUAGAUAUGUGAGUGUGUAUAUAUGUAAAUAUUUUUGAUAGACCAUGCCCAACUCAUUGCUUGAGCAGUUCAAAUUGAGAAGGUGCAGAAUGAAAAGGACCUAAAGUCUAAAUAAUCUCAUUGUGUGAGUGUGCACCAACAUUAGGGUUUGAAGAAGUUGGAAAUUAGAAGAAAUAUUCAUAUUAUAUGCUAGGUGAAAAUUUCCAAUUUUUUUUUUUUUAUGAUGCAAUUGAAAGUAGUUGUAAAAAUAAUAUUAUUAUGGAAAAUUGUUAAAGUAAUGGUUAUGUAACUUACUAUCUUUUGCCUCUCUAAUAGAUGCAAUUAUCUUAUAAUGUUUCUUGUCUUCACUUGAACACAAACAAAUGCAACUUGAUAAUAUAUUGGUGGAAUAAUGAUAUUUGAAUCCCUAGUAAUGAAUACAUUAUUUCAACAUCAAAAUUUUGUUUCUUCAAUAAAUUUCUUAAAUUUCUUAAAUUUGAAAUUAAUUGGUGCUUGUGAUUAUAAAUAUAAGAAGAAGAAAACAAUAACAACAAGUAUCUUUUAAAACUAUUGAUUUAUGAUCAUUUCUUUUUGUUUUAAAAACAAUGCAAAUAUUACAUUUAAAAAAAAAAUAAUCUUAAUUUUUUUUUGCCACUUGUGUUUAAUAAUAAAUGUUUGUAUUUUUUUUUAUUAGGAUAUAUAAGAUACCAAAAUUGUUGGCAUCUAAGUCUCUUUAAAAUCAAAUAUUGAUAUAUAUAUAUAUAUAUAUAUAUAUAUAGAAUAUAAAAUAGUGAAUAUAUAACUAUUCAAAUAGUGAAUAUAUAACUAUUCAAAUAGAGAAUAUAUAUAUAUAUAUAUAUAUUCAUUAUUAUACUAUGAUGAGUUUUCUUUUAUAAUAGAAAAUAAAUGUUGGCUAGGUUCACUAAUAUCAAAAAAAGGUUUUUACAAAUUAGCUCUUUCAUCAUUAGAACCUUCCAAAAAAAUACACCUUAUAUUAUAAUAAUGAAUAGUUAUCUUUAUUAUUAUGUGUAGAGAAUCCAUAAAAAUUAAGAGUUUAGAUUCUUUUUGUAUGUUUAAAGGUAGAUGUUUAAGUCUGAUUUUAUUUCUGCAAUUUACAAAACUUUUAGAUGGCAUAACACAUAAUGAAAAAAAUAAUAAUGUUGUUUAAGAUGUACCUUUCAAAAGUUAGAAUCAUAAUUUUCAGUUAAAGCUGUUGUAAAAUGUUUUUUUCAUAUACACCACCAAAUAAUCAAAUGUAUUAAAAGAAAUAAAAAAAAUUAAUCUUAUACAAGUUAGAAUUGUAUUUUAAGUUAGAUGUAUAUAUUAAUUUAAAAAAAUUAGCUUAUUAUAUACAUAUUUUUAAAAUAUCAAGUAUAAUUUAAACGCACUUUUAUUCCAAUUACUUGAUAACUCUAUUCUUUAUUUUUUGGGAUCACAUCCUAUUAUUGUAGAAUAAUCUAAUUAAUCUACUUCUUAGAUCAAUGACUUCUUUGCUCUUCACAUGGAUGUACCUCUUUCUUUGGCAAAGUUUCUCCCAUAACUUCCUAUAUAAAUUAAUUAUGCAUUUCAAUAAAUAUUGAUUGAAAAUUAAUUUGUUAUGAUUGUAUACUUAAUUCAUAGAUUUUAGAAUAUUUGAGGAUUUAUUUCUAGUAUUUGGUAGAAUUAAAUUCUCUUCUAUUGAUAAAAUCACUUUCUCUUUGAAUAUAUAUAUAUAUAAAUAAUAUUGAUUCACUUGGGGUUUUCUAUCUUAGAAUCUUUCUUGUUUCAUGUCACCAAAUAAUGGCCUAAAUCCUUACAUUGGAUUUUCACUUAAUCUAAAAAAGAAUCUCUAUGAUUUAAAAAAUAUAUAUUUUUAACAUUCAAGAACAAUCUUCAUGGAAACAUUUUUAUUUUAUUUUGUUUUGUUUUUAUGAUUACAAAAUAAAAAAAGUAAAUUCUAUUUACUUUUUGUAAAAACCAUCCCAUGGUAUUUAAAUCAAUUGUUCUAUUCAUUCAAUUGUAGACAUAAACAAUAAAAGCACCAUCAAUAGAUCUCCCAAAAAACCAACAUAAUCCAACAUGAAAUAAAAAACACCAAUCAAAUAAACAAGUUACAUUCUCAAUGAACAAAAGAUUUGAUCUUACUAUAAAAUUAAUUCCACCUACUAAUAAUUUAAAAUCAAAAGCAAGAAAUGAUAUCAAUCAAAACUAAUAUCACCUUUCUAACCUUACCCUAUCACUUAAAUUAACACAAUCGUCCAUUUUUUUUUUCGAAAUUCUAUCUUGUCGUUCAAACAUGCCAUAUUUUCAAAUAGUUGCUACACUGACUAACUAUCACUAACACCCAAUUUCUCAAAUAAUAAUCCUUCCUACCGAUUAUAACUUUUUCUAAUCUCACUCUCCUAUGUUUGAGUUGGGUUCAUCAACAAAACCCAAACCCACUUAAACCCACAAAACAAAAUAGAGAAAUAGAGAGAGUGAGGUUAUGUGUGGGCGUUGUUCCCUAAAGGCUCCGCCUCCUUCCUAAACACACACCCAAGCAGAGUUGUUGUUUUUAAGUGAAUUGUUUGUUGAUUGUUGAUGAGAGAGUUGAAAUCCCUUUCUUCCUCUUCCAUGUUUGGUUGUGUCUUGUAGAGCUUUUGAGAGAGAGGCCAUGGUGAUACAAUAGAACAGAACAGAAUAGAAUAGAACUGCCAUUGCUUUGGAAUUGGAAUUGUAGCUGGGUUUUGGUAGGACGGAGGAGGAGGAGGAUUCGCUUGGUGCUGCUGCGGGGAUGAUGGCUCAACCAAGUACCCUUGAAUCGCUCAUCGAAUCCUUUGUUACCACAGAAAAGUCCCCUGCUGAACAGGUGACACAAUCAAUCCGCUGCUGACACUACAGAAAACAAAGAAAAAAAGAAAAAAAAAGAAAGGAAAAGAAAAAAACAUGUUUUUGGUUGUGGUUCAUUUGUGGGAUUUGUCUCAAGGUGUGAAGAAUUUUACGUUUUGUUGCAUCCGAAUCGGACAAGUUGUUGCUGAGUACCAAACUGUGAUGCUCAGGUGGUAGUGAGUGUCACUUGUGCUGAUUUUCUUCAUGUGAAGUGCUGCCUCGGGGGGCGGGUGUUUGUUAUCAGGAAUUUUUUGACCUAAGGUUUGAAUUUGGGCUGAUUUUGUGUUUGCGGCGUCUUUGCAUUGGAUCGCCAAGUGUAGGAAGCGGAGAGCAAUUUUCUGGUGCAAUUCUAAGGGAAUUGCUGUAGUAGUAUUGGAAUGUGUAUGUGAGGGUUUCUGGUGCCCCUGAGUAGUCCGAUCCAAUCAAUGACGCUUUCUUCCACAUUCAUUGAGGGCUCGGGUUUUGGAGAGUGGAGAGGGUUUUAGUUGCUGUGGAGCUAACGUGUGUGAUUUCGCAGGCUAGGGCCCAGGCUUCUAGUGCAAAAGCAAUCUCUAAGAGGAUUUUACAUGGAGAACUUACAAUACAGAGCUUGGUGCGUCUGUCUGACUCUCUCUCUCUCUCUCUCUCUCUCUCUCUACCUAUAUAUAUAUAUAUAUAUAUAUAUAUAGUUAUGUUCUUUUUGUCAACACCUCCACAAGUUUCUUGAACCCUUGAAUCUAGGGGUUUAGGUUCCUAUUUUCUCAUCUCAUGACGAUCAGGAUUUAGAGGUUUUAUGCUGGGUUUUCCUGUAGAACACAAAAGCUCGUGCAUUGUACGUGCAUUACAGUUCACUUUAGGUGCCGAGCAUCAUAUGACAUCUACCAGCUUGCAAUGGAUUGGACCUUUGUGCCCUUGUAAGUGGAGAUUUCCAUCUCUUUUACCUAGGAACUCCUAGAUUUCUGCAAGUGUAAGUCGCUAUUCAUUUGGAAGCAAAUGUAGCCUGAAGGAGUAUUUAUUCAAUUGUAGGUUCUCACACUUGGAGCAUAUUUGACUACAACUGACAACAUAGUCAGACAUCGAGGUAUGCACCUAUCGCUUUGUUCUUUAUUUGUGAAAUGAUUUCAGAGGAGGAUUCUUAGCAAGAGCAAAAACGAAGUUUUUGUAUUGCGUUAGACUGUUUUUUUAGCUUGUAGAUGACAUCGCCCACAGUUAAAUGACAACUUAUUCGACCACCUUUGUCUUGGAUGACGGUUACAAGCUCUACACUCGACCAAUCUCUACCUUUUCAAGGUGUUUUACUAAGUCGUAUGUCGAAUAUGUUAGCGGUAUUAGAUACCAAGAAGACUCUUUGUUCUUUUUUUUUUUGCUUUUAUACUUGGGACAAUGAAGGGCUUGAGAACUAGUUGCCUUGGUUUGAUUGCAGGUACUUUGCUUCUUUCAGACAUUCUUGCUGAUCUAUCAGGAAAGCGACUUGAGGACACAGCCAUAAAAAGUCUAACCAACUUCUACAGUGCAAGACUUGUAAGCGCUGAUCCCUUCUGCUAGGCAUGCUUUUGCUUUAGGAAGUUCAUUAUUUUGGUGGGUUUGUCAUGAUUCUGCUACUUCUUCCGCACUAGUAAGCGCUAAUUCUUCUUUCACAAAUCUGUUCUUACUACUCGUGGAAUUAGCACAUCUUAUCAUUCACCAUUUCUGCUCAGGGUGACUGGCAUUGUUUGCAAGGUGCGGUCCUUGGUUCUCUUAGUCUGCUGAGAAGGAGAUCAAAUGCGGGAACCGUGGAGGUAGAGGAUGCAAGGGAGGUGGCUAAAUCUGCUCUAACGAAUCUUCACGUGCAGGCUCUAGCUCGAAAGGACCGCAUGGUAAAUCUUAGCUUCUGCAAUGUUGCUGCAAAUGAAGCCUCUUAAUGAGCUUUUUCAGUCAUUUCAAAGUCAACUCUGAUACCGAUGUAGGCUUUGUGAAUACUAGGAGUUUCUGAAUUCUUUUUAUUGGUUUUCCUAGAAUAUGUUACGUAUCUUUUGUUCAUCAUGUCGUUUUGCUUAUAAUCUAGACAUUAGGUGUUGAGCUAGUUAUCAGGAGAUACAGACAUUUCUUCAAAUUCUUAACUUAAUGGCUGCAUAUUCAAAUUUUAAUUGGACUGACUAUUUUCUGUCUGAAUUUAGCUCUGUUUGGAGCUAUUUGAAUGUCUAUUGGAGAAGCAUGCAGGUGCAGUUACCCCACUGGUACGGUUUGCUAUUUUAACUAGUAUGACCUCUCCUUUCUGAAUUUACCUUUAAUUUUUUAAGAUCUUUGGGUUCAAUUAAGUCCUCUGGAUUUGGCAACAGCUUUCACUUUGAGUUUUGGACGCCUAUAUGCAACUUCAUACGCUUUAUUAUACCUGGGAUACAGAAAGACGAUCUCGUGUUUGGUGUUGUUGCGGCUGUUGAAGAAGAGAAAGACCCGAGAUGUUUAUUAUUAGCUUUCCGGAUCACACGACUGCUGGCUAAACUUUACCCAGAUCCCGAGGGGCCAGUCGCUUCUUGUGCAGAAGAGCUUUUUGAUGUUGUCAGCCGAUACUUUCCCAUUUCUUUCAAUCCCGUAAGCAUCUUUAUAAGUUAACUUUACUUUAAUACUCACGCGUUCACGUCCUGUAGUGAGCACACCAAGCAGAUCUAUAGUUGAGUCGGUCGAUUACCAAAGAUUUUACUGGCAGUUGCAAUGUUGAUCAGACUAAGACAUCUUUUAAUUGAUAGCUUGUGAUCAUGUUUUUGUUUUGUUUUUGUUUUGUUUGUUUGUUAUUGUUGUUGUUGGUGCCACUGACUCUGCCAUCCUAUGAUGCAUCUUCGAUUACAGCGACCAGAUUCUCCGGAUGACAUCACAAGAGAGGAUCUGGCAAAUUCGCUCAAGGUACAUAUUUUCUAUGUUUUCGUGUUUAGUCGUAUAGAAGUCUUAGUAAUAAGACUCAUGAUCUGCCCUUUACUAUGGCACUCGAUUCCCGAAGUAGAUAAAAAGCUAAUCGUUCCUGUGCCGCAUAUUCACACGAACUUUUUGUCAAUGUUGGACAUUUAAUGUUGUGUUUUUAUUCGUAUUUCUGUCCUAAUGCGUCUUAUAGUAAGCUAUUAUUUGCACUUCGUUUCAAUUUCAUAACACAAUUAAAAUUUCAGUUUUUGAUGGCUCCUUAUUUAAAGUUUCUCAAAGAUAAAUCUUACUUCACAUUGUGAACUGACAGUCUAAGUCAAUUUCAAUGGCGGAAAACAGAGGCAUAUCUGCUAUUUUGAAUUUGUUGGUUCAAAUCAUGUUCUUUGACUUUACGGCUUCUAAGAGGUAAUGUUUGCGUGAUUGAUGAGUAGGCGACCUUUGCUUGUACGCCAAUUUUCGCUCCAUAUUGCAUCCCCCUGCUCCUAGAAAAGCUUUCGUCUAGCCUCCGAAGGGCAAAGGUAGGUGCACGCUGAUCCUCGUAUAAGCAUGUAGACAUGCAUUGGGUUUCUGUAUAAUUGGUCCUGUCUGUUUUUAAUUGGCUGUUUUAUUAUCUCAGUGAAUGGUUUUCUAUUCAUUUAUCUGGCUUUCUUCCUUUUUGUAGCUGGACGCUCUUAAUUACCUUGGUCACUGUGGACUCGCAUACGGAGCCAAAGCUUUGAAAGAAUAUACUGUUGCUGUUUGGGAUGCUUUGAAAGCAGAACUUCUUCCGCCAUCGAUGCCAUCAGAAGAACCUCAAGAUGUGGAGAUUGUUAAAGAAGCUUUAAGUUGCUUAAGAAGUUGGGUGUUGGCUUCCCAAAUUGAAAAUGAUUCCUCCCUUCUUUCCAUGAGAGAUUCUGGAAUUAUGAAGGCAGGAGAUUUCUUGCAGUUGAUUCUACAAGACGGGCUUGUGGAGGACCUCGUUACAUGUUUGAAGAAUGACACUGUGAGUCGAGGACACACACAGUCUCUCAUGAAGGAUCGUGCUAUACAGCAAGCUGAAGGAGCUGGUCACAUUCUUGCAGAAUCAGCUCAAGCUUCCCCAUCUUCAUGUUUUGUAGUCUGCAGGCAAGUGCUUAAUCGUCUCAUGACUGCUACUGGAUUGUCCAUAGUGUCCAAUGCGACUCCUGAAAUAGUUGCUGCUGCUGCAUCAGAAGCACAAGCGGGUACAAAUCCAAAUCUGGAUAAUUUCAAGAGUGUUAUUGGAUUGGGAGUCGUGCUUCAAAUAGUCAUUGCUGCUAGAAACUUGGCGGAAAAGUGUUUUCAGGAGCGUGGUCAGUCAUUAGCAAUGACUCCAAAAGAGUGGCUGGACCCACUACAAGAGCAAGCUGAAAAUCUCUUAACUGCAUUUCAUAAAGCCAUUACCGACGAACUAUCAAGAGACUCAGCAGUGCUUGGAGGUAGAAUUUUGUCAGUAGCUGUUUUCUUGUAUCUCCGAGACCUGCUGAAAGCUAUUUGCUGAUGUUUGUCAGUUCUGACUAUCUAUCUACUCUUACUUGACAAGUGCAGAAAUUCCUCUAACGAAUGAUCACAAUGUACAUGUUGGCAAAAAUGCUGGUUGUAUUAAGACCUAAAACCAAAUGCAUUGAAUUUGUGCAGUUUCGGGAUUGCAAGCUCUGGCGUCGUUCCCUGCGUCUCUUUCUCCAGUGUCUAGUGACCAGUUGAGAAGGAUCCUGUUGAUCUUCAAAGAUCUUUUGAUUGGCGACAUCAAUCAAGAAUUGUUGGAUAUUGUUCUUAUAGCUUUAGAGAAUAUCAAUAACGUGGAGGAGCGGUCAGGAGCAGUGGAUGAAGGGAAUGUUGGAGUAUUGACGGUUGUUGUUCCAGACUUGUUGGGAGCAGUUCGAGAAGCCAAGUCAGGUACUGAAGUGGGAAAACCACUCAGGGUACUUGCAAAAAUCUGUGGGUCAAGAUCAGGCGCUCGUCCAUUGGUGAUUAAGAACCUCACUGAAAGUAUCCAUCUCGGCAUCUCGCGGGCUAAUGUAAGGAUCUUGAUUACUAUGUUAUGUUGGAGUUGAAAUGCUGAUGUUUUAACUUUGAUUGGUGUAGGUGACUUCAUAAUGAUCAUUAUUUUGUGGUUCAUUGAAUUAGGUGAGGGAAGAUGUAGACGACGUUUCCACCAAGCUGGUGGGUGUCUUGCGAUGCAUUUCAGAAGAUAUACUUCCUUGGUGAGUCGUUUCUGCUAUUUAUUCUAGUACUUCGUGUCACUUGGAACAACAUAUUUUCUAAACAUUUGUUGCACUUACUAUGUUUCAAGAAGUUGUUGGACAGUGCAGGCGUUACUGUACCUGUCUCUCGUGCUGUAGGUGUAACAUAUGAAUCCCUACAAGUUAGGCUUAGGAUGGGUUAUGGAUGACUUGAGGGCCUCGAAAUCAUGCAGUCUAAUCCUUGAAACUUUAUUGGUCAGGUGCGAUGAUUUAAGCGCAAAUCAGUCUGUUAUGACGGAACUAACCACGGAGAUUUGGGCAGUCGUAUCUACCCAAGCCUUUAGGUGUAAUCAAAGUGUAAGGCAAUUGACCUCUUUUCAUGGUAUUGGUACAGAGUCACAAGUAUUUUUGACAUCAUUUAGAAGUGUCCACUAGUCUGAGCUAAUAGAUGUAACUUUUUAGGGAACACAUGCUGCUGGUGUAGUGAGUUUUUCCGUUUUAGUACAGUUUGUUUACUUUUUAUAUUGUGAUGUUCGUGCGCAGGUCCUAGAAUGGAGUUCGAAAGUUAUGCGUGUAGCAGUUGUGAAGUUUGAUGCUUCAGCACAAAGUAGAAUUCUUCAACAUGGAGCACAGCUUUUAUUUGACACGACUCGACAUCAUGAAGAGGAAAUGGAUUGGACCAUUGCUCUAGUUGCUUCAGUAAUCGUUUCAGUAAGGGCUACUGCAGUAGUUCCUAACAAGCAGUCACUUUUAACUAUGAUGAUGCGUGCUGCCCAAUCUGACAAGGCUUUCCUUAUCACUGAGACAGCUGCUCAGGCCGUAGCAUCGAUGUUAAACAAGUGGGCUGUAUCUACAGAUGAGGUCCGACAUCUAUACUUAACGGCUUCUCUUUCAUCAAGUAAAUGAAUCCAGUAGGAUACUCACCUUGAGAUUUGCAAUAGUAUUGUACUUGUGAAUCCACCUCAAGUGACUAAUGCCUCUUGUUCUAAAUCUUUUGGACUUUGUCCUGAUCUUAGGAUGGUGGUUUUACCCUGGAGAAAGCUGUCCAUAUGGUAUUGGAUGAGGACUUUUUAUCUCAGAUUGUACCCAAGUCCAGACUGGAGAGUUCGGCAGAAAUUGAUAAAGGGAAAGAUUUUCCUUGUAAAUCUGUCCGCCAAAAGGUUUCAGGAGUCCGUGCAGCUGCAUGGAUUGGAAAAGGUUUAGCCAUGAGAGGUCAUAGUGGAGUUUCUGUUGUGGCUUCUGUGCUACUGAAGCUAUUGUUGUCAGGAACCUCCGAGGUUUGUCACUGCAGCACAAUUCCUCACAAAUUUGAUUCCAUCAUACCAUCAAAACCAAUAACAAAACUUUGUCAUCAAAUUUUUCAAAGUUAUAUAUGGGUUAUAGAGCCACCUGAUAGAAUCCAUAUAUGGGUCGAGUCUUUGCUUAUGCCAAACAUUUACUCACGCACAUGACGGUAUGUGGCAGGAAGGAGAAGAAUCCAGCUUAGCGACGGCUGCAGCUGAGGGUCUUGGGAUUAUCUUAAAAGAAUCAGAUGUUUGCUUAAAUAAAACACAUCAUGCUGUCGUUCGGCCAUUGUUCAAGCAGCGUUUCUUUAGCAGCAUGUUAUUACCGCUUUUAGAGGCUGUGCGUUCAUCGAGUGAAACCCAAACAAAGUAAUACAUUUGGCUUAAGAAAUAUUGUGUUGCAUGACGUUGGCCGUUUCUUAGCAUAUUCUUAUACUUUUAUUCAAGGGAUACUUGGAAAAUGUAUGGAUGUUUCGUUGCGUAUUUUUGCACUACCACGAUCCUUAAGCAGUCGUAUCAGAACGUUCAAUUUUGCAAUUUUCUCUAAUAUGAUUAGCUGCUGUGGAUGCAGGUUGUGGCUGUAUAGAGGGAUAGGGCACCUAAUAUCUGGCACUCCUCAUGUUGCAUUGCUGGCUGACGGAGCAAAGGUUAGUGUACAUACAGGAAGAGUUGAAUGGAAGUGCAGUCUGCGUCGAGUUUUAUGUCCAUUGGAUUGUGUUUCAGCAUUUAUUCCAAACAGGGGCGGUUUGUAAAUCUCUUCCUUGAAUGUAUAAAGUAUUAUUCUGUUCAGUGAAUUACAAUUGUUAUUUGGUAGUGCAGGUUUUUCCUGUUAUUUUGGGAACUCUUUCAUUCUUGUGCUCAGAUCGAAGCGACUCGGAUAUCUUACUUUCUACUUUGCUGGCACUCUCUUCAUUUCUUGUAGACGAAAAUCAAGGUGGGAUUUUGACUUGCGAGUGUUUUCCCGGUAUACUUUUAUUUCAUUUCUGAUAGCUGGCUUUAGCAGUAGUUUAGCAUAAGGUCAAAUCCUCAUAGGUUUAUUUGUUCAACUAUGACAUCUGACUUAUGACAUGCUGUCCAACUAUUAUUUAUUCAGGGAGACCAGUAGUGGGGGAGCAUGUAUCCAGCAUUGUGAAGCGAUUGCUAAUCUUGAUUCAGUACCAGCACUCGGUUGUAAGUUCUUAAAGACUUAAUGCAUAUGCCUAGUAUCCAUUGUCUUCAUUUGUUUCCUUUGUUAGUUAUGUUCAUCAGACUUAGUUAAAUGCAUGAUGUGUACUUGGGCCCUAUAAUGAAAUUAGAAAUCAUCACGUUGGUGUGAGAUUGUCCUCUCGUUUCGCAUAAUCCAUGUGUGAAUUUGUUGCGCAGAUUGUUCGAGAAACAGCUCUUCAAUGCUUGGGAGCUGUAGUUGGUCUGCCUUAUAAUCGAGUGUACCCCUUGCGGAGAGAGGUUAGUAGAAAAUUAUUCUCCAGAUGUUCCACGUAGAGUAAUCACAAUGAAAUAUGCCUAUUUUCAUGUUUCUUCUCUCAUAUGUACUCCACCUAAACAGUUUUCGGGAAGGGAUAUGCAAUCUGUUUCAUCGGGACGGAUAGACAACGUAGCUCACUAUAUUGUAAUCGACCAAUGAGCAAUGUUCAUUUUUCAUGUUCUUAUUUUUAUUUAUAAAAUUUGUAGGUACUCAAAGCGUUGUCAGCUGCUUUGGAUGAUAAAAAGCGAGUUGUUCGCAAGGAAGCUGUGCGAUGCCGCCAAGCCUGGUGCGCAUCUUGUCCCUACUACUAAAAACUGCGAAGUAAUUGCAUCCAUUUAGUUUGUUCUAAUCCUUAUUUUGAAGAUCUAAAAUCUAUAUGAGGUUCCCAAGUAUUACAUUGUUUCCAGACAGAAGAGCUUCGCGGAAUUUAUUGAAGCAACUAACAUUACAUUGUAUGAAAGGGUUGCAGUCAAGGGGUUAUGCUGACUGGCUGUUGUGUUCCUAAUUCGCAGGACUAUGAUUUCGACCAAGAAAACAUAGACCAAGUCUGGGUUUCACCUGUCAAGAGCUUCCAGCAGCUUGGACGUCUGCAAGACAAUUUCUGCGUUUUGAAAAAAGUUGUUCUUAACUGUAAGAGAGGAUAUGUUCUUUCAGGACUUACUGGAUGAACUAACUUCCUCAGACUCACUGUACAGAAUACAGCAGCAACUCUAUAUGCAACGACUUCCUCUCGCUAGUUUGUAAGCUGGUAGGAGCACUUUGAGCUCUCUUAUGGAUGUAACGACCCAGAGCUUGACAGGUUGAUGUACAUUAACGAAGCCUUGAAGUUUCAGGAGCUGAAUGAAACUCAUUGCUCUUUUACAAAACCGUCCCAGAAUGACGAGUUUCACCAGGCAUGCAGAAAAAACCAGAGUUGUGGUUCAUCAAUACCAGAAAAAACCCAUUUUUUUAGUUGCCAAGGUAUAAUCGUUGCAUUUUGAGAGCAUUUGUGACCAUCAAUUUCAAUUUAUGGUCCUUGCAUCAUCCUUCACCACACAAACCCAAUAUUCUUAAGGUAACGAUAUUUGAUGUUUUUUCUUGAUCGGUAGUUAGCAAUAGUGGGCAUGUGAAAGGAAGGUGAAUGAAGGAGUUGCUGAUGUUUUUUAUGACCUUUGAGUUUGAUUCCCUUCAAGUAUGACAUAUAUAUGCCUUUAUCAUCUUUUACUUUAUUCAUAAGAAAACUUCUUUUCAUAAUUGGAAGAAGAUAACUUUAGAAUGUAGAUUUAAAUAGAGCCCAUGACUUUUUAAAUCUAUUUUUGAUGCUUUAAAUUUCUAUAUAUUUUUAAAUAAUGCACUAUCUUUUUUUUGUUGUUUAUCUAGCAAGUUGUAUUCUUUAUGGUAUCAAUGGAGUUUUUUUUUUUUUUUUUUUUUUUUUUUUUUUCCUUCUUCUUCUAUUAGACAAUCUAUUAUAUUACAAUUAUUAACAAAUAGAUUAGUAGAAAUAUUACAAUUAUUAUUAUUAUUAUUAUUAUUAUUAUUAUUAUUUUCUUCUCCUAUUAGACAAUCCAAAAACUAUUUUCUACUAAUCUAUUUGUUAAUAAUUGUAAUAUUUCUCAAUAAAAUUAUAUUUUCAUUUAAUAUUUUUUAAAUAAAACAACCUUUAUAUAUAUAUGUAAUAGCUAUUUGAUAAAAUACUUAAGAAUCAUGCCAAAAUUAUUAAAAACAUAUAAUUCCACCAUCUAACAAAAUAUAUUGUCCUUUCUUAUUGUAUAUUGUUCUAUUUGUGUUAAAGUAUUUUUUACAUAUAUAUAAGAUGUAUUGUUGUAAAAUUUUUAAUAUGCAUUGGUAUCAUUGUACUCUAGUAGUUAUAUAAUAAUUAUAUUAUAUGAGAUUUAUUUUAAUCUAAUCUAAUAUUUAAAUUAAAAAUAAGACUACACAAAAGUUUGUGAAGUUUUGAAAGCAAAAUUUUGAAACUUAAAUACUUCAUGCAUAUACUUUAUAUUUAUGGAUGAUAAAGAAAUUUAUCCUUAAAUAUAAUUUUUAUUUUUAUCUUUAUUAUUAUUAUUUUUUAGAAUAUAUUUCUACAAUAUUAAAACGCCUUAGUAUUUUGUAUAGUAUUUUAUUUUUUAGAAAUACUAAUCAAAUUAUAAGAAUACUGUCAUUUUAAAGCUUUUAACAUAAAAUUUAAUAAAUAAGUGUAUUAAUAAAUAAAAAUAAAAAUAAAAAUAAUUAAAAUUUAUAAUAUAAUAAAAUAUAUUAAAAUCAAUAAUUGAUUAAAAUUAUUAGAAUGAUUUUAAAAUCUAUUUAGAUUUUAAUGGUGAUUUUAAUAAUAAACUUGAUACCCAAUGUCACUGUUGGAUAAACUUGAUAUUGAAUGAAAUUGUGUUGAUUGCAAAGGUGGCUAAAUUUUAAAAUGUCAUUUUUAACAAAAAAGAAUUAAUGUUUAGUCAUAUAUAAUAAUAUUUCUCUAUAUAUAUCUAUAUAUAUAGAUAUUCAUAUUUUACUAAAACAAUUACAUGCAUAAUUAUUUAUAAUACUUAAUGAUAGUAACACUUAAAUUUUAUAUAAAUGUGAUGUGUUUUCAAAACAUUAUGAAUUCAAUGCAAUAUUUUUUAAUUUUUUUUUUUUUUAAAAUUACAUAUUUGAUAUUCAGAAUAGAACAUAAUAAAAUAAGAUUAGUAUAAAUAAAUUUAUUUUAUUUUUUAAAAAAAUUCACAACAAAAUAAAGAACAACACAAAUCUCAUAUAAGAAUACAUUCACCAUAUACUUUAGAAGUCAAUGAAGCAAUAUCAAAUCAACAAAACCACAAACUACUAAAUAUAGAAACAAAUGUGAUAAAGAAUUAUUACAAACAUCCAAUCACCCACUAACUACAAACUUAAUAUAAUAUUUAAAACACUAUUUCCUCACAUUAACUUUUCAAUUAAUACUCUCUCAAAAUGUACACACAAACAAGAAUUCCUUUUUAUCCCCAAAUAAGUUUUUCUCUUGUUAAUCUCCUCAUUGCCCCCACUCUCAUAAAACCAUCCUCCCUUACUACAAUAAAAAGAAUAAGCGCAUAGAGAAAGAGAGAGAGAGUAUUGAAACAAGGGGAGGCCACAAAUAGAGUCCUUCUUCGUAAAUUAGGGUUUCCCAAUCAUCCAUCUAUCCAUCCAUCCAUCCAUUCAUCCAUUCAAGCUCCUCCUCUUCUUCGCUCUCGUCCUCUUCGUCGUCGUCGUAGGCUCUGCUGCAGGACGUGCUUCAACGAUCGUUGUGGAGCGAGCUCGCAGAAGGGGGGACUGCAAUCUGUUGCGGACGAAGCCAAUGCGACCUUCGCAUUCCGUUUCUGUUUUCGAGGUGUCUUCUGCCAUUUGAGUUCCCAGUUUUCAGACACAGAAUCGUCGCCAGGUGAUGUUUCCAAUGCUGCACUUGUGUUGGUGUUAUUUCGUGUUGUCUCUUUGAGUUGUUGUGUUUUUUAAUUGAGAGAGAGAGAGGAGUGUGAUUUUCAUGGCAUUUUAUUUAUUUAUUUGUUUAUUUUUUGAUUUUAUUGUAGGACGGGUUUGUGAAUUGUAUAGGCGUUUGUCGAACUGAAGCACACGACUAGCUGAAGCUAAUGUGUAGGGUUUAGGGUUUUGAUGAUGAUGGUAGUCGUGGUUCAAUGACAGUGUUACCGAGAAGAUCGAGCUGAUAAGGAAACGUGUGAGAGAAUUGAGCUGUACAGUGUCGCAGAUGUCAGUUUGGUUAGAGAGUGAAGCCCGCAGCAGUCUGGCAGAAUCGACUUGUCCUUCCAAUGAACGGUGCAAGUUUUGAGUGAUGUGUUGGAUUAAUGAUGCGAGAGAAAAACAGCCACUUCACUUCAUUUGUUGCUAUCAUGAAUAUUGUUUUCCAUACAUCUAAGUUAGAUAAAUGUCCAAACAAUUCGUUUUUAGAGAUUGAGAGAGCUAUUAGGUUGAUAGUUUGUCUUGCGUGGCGCAGGGAAUUUUUUCUGGGUCAGAGUUGGACCAAAUAUUUGCAUUAGCAAGUUUUCUGAGGUUUUACUUUUUCUUUUCUUUUCUUCCUUUCAGUGUGUUUCCAGUUCAGAGGAUGAAGGUCGAGGGGACUGAUGAUGGUGCGGUUGCAGCUGCUGGGGUUGGUCCUACUGGUGUCUCACCAUUCGUCUCAAAAGUGCUGGUUAGAUUCUUCUCCAUUGAAAUCAUUCUAGAUUUUGACGAGGCCAGCGACUUGCGGAGCAAUGCCUAGAUUCAACUACACGAAUUUGUUUUGUCGUAUUAAGACAAGUAUGUCACGUUACUCAAGCUUUAGUUUGAGGUUAGGGCUUAACACGCGUCGUAUCAUGCAUUUAUGGUGAGAAUGUGCCCCAACCUGACGACGUUAAACGGCUUACGUGGACAGGCUCCCGGUGAUAUAGUGCUGGACCUCAACAGUACCAACAAAGUUUUGCGAGUUGGAAGUGGAUUGCGGCAGGUUAUUAUUUUUUGUACUUUGCCUGUAGUAGUAAGAUGAAAGACGACAAUAGGCGCUUGUUUAAAAUUUUUGUUCCAUCAUCGUGAGACGCAGUGGAAUGGUCCCUGUAAUACUGGUAGGUCGAGCUAAAUCUUAUGAGGAAGGAGAAACAUGAAUUUUUUUGCAUAUUUGAAUUAAGGUAUAGAGACCGUUCGAUCUAAACACGUCGGCUUGGCGGAUUGGGAAUGUGCCCUGUUGGGUAUGGCAGGAUGGAGACAGCAUUUUGGCAACAAAAGCGGGCAAACUACGGUUUCAAAAGCAAAGCAACAAAUAUUGGGUGGAAGGUUCCCAGAAACGGGUAUGUGAUUUUACAUGUGCUUGAUUCGGAUAUGCAGGCUCCAUUGUUGCUAAGAGUUCAAGACUUGGUAUCGCUUUGGCUAUUGUUGCACAAUAUACUACUGAAUGCAAUUGUUGAGAAUGCAGUACAUUCCCAACGUGGAAGAUACGGUGGUAGGUAUCAUGGUGGAUCGGCGGUCCGAGGUUAGAUCCAGCCUUCCGGGUUUACUUUGUUUCAGCAUUCUUCUUGAUGGGUUUUGUGAUUUUUUCUUGUCAUAUAAUGGUAAUGUUUCUGCCAGGAGAAGGAGAUAUUUUGAUGUUAAGGCGGAUGUUUCGCUUGGUAAUUUUUAUUUGAUUCUACUUCCUUGUGCAGAUGUUCAUACUAGAUAUUGGUGGUCCUGCAUUUGGUUCACUUCCUAUUCUAGCCUUUGAGGGAGCCACCCGCCGUAACAUUCCUAAUCUUCAGGCAGGUCAGCUUUGACUUCUUCGUGUUUUGAAAGCUGGAUUGUAGUAUUAGUGCUCAAAUGCUUUCUAGAUCUGAAGUUUGUCGCGCUCUCUGUUUUACAUCUCAUGUCUUGGCACUUGGUUAGAUUUUCUUCUGUCGAUUAGUGUUUUUGAUUUCUCGAUAUACAGAUAGGACGUAGCUUCUUAUGUCUUUCAUCGUCUGUCUGAACACAGAUAGGAGCAGCUGUUUAUGCUCGCGUUGUGAAUGCCCAUAGGGACAGCGAUCCUGAACUUUCUUGUACUGAUGGUGAGGAACUGUGAAUUUUGAUGUCACUUGAGCAUAUUCAUAUUUUUUUUGUUUCCUCUUGGAAAUGUCUCUUAGAAUAAUGUCAGAACUGCGGAUGUUAACAUUUGAGUCUGACAAGUUGGAGGAGGCGGAUGUAGUUCUGAAUCAUAUUCAAUUUGCGAAGCUUGCUUGUUGUAAAAUCAUCAUUGAGGACUAAGUCACAGCAAGUAAGGUUGAGAUCGCUGAAAACUUAACCGCUUUAUUGAGAUGCAACUCGGUGACUUAUAAGAUUGAUAGACAUCAUUUUAAAACUUUUGGUUAAUUGCAGCCGCUGGUAAAUCUGCGGGCUUUGGGCCUUUAAAGGGAGGUUUCAUUUUUGACUGCAGCACAGGAUUGGCACGAGGGUAAGAUUUUUUAUCUGAUCUUUUAUCUUUUGUGAAUGAUCUAUUUCGGGAUUGAGUUAUCUUAUACUCUUCAGAAAGGACUAAAUUUUAAACUUUAUGUGGUUUUAAUGGUGACAGAUUGUUGAGUAAGCCAACUCCUCCAGUCUUGGAAGUUCUCGGCAAAAGUCUAUCUUUCGAGAUUGCUGUAGGUUUGAAUGGUCGUGUUUGGGUAAUUCUCUCUCUAUUGGCCUUGGAUUUGUCCUGGUAAUUACGAAGAAAGUAACAUAGUUUUGAUGCCGCAGAGAGCCUUUCUAUUUUUUUUCUUUUAUUUUUUCUUUGAAACUAUGUAUUUUCCCUUAUUGGUUUUACAUUAAAACUCAACAUAGAUAGCUCUAGUCUUCAAUUCUUUAAAUGCAUAUCAUGAGAAAUAUGUUCAUUGUUGAGAUCAUGAGGAUUUUCCUGUGGUUUCUUAUGUGCGGGUUGCGAGUAUUAUAUGACUUCUGAUGAUCAAGUUAUUGACGGAAGGGUUAUGUUAAUUUGCAACAUGCCGCUCACUGAUAGGGACUUGCAUUCUUUGCAGGUCAAUGCGCCUAAAGUUGCCACAAUCAUUACUGUCUCCAAUGCAAUUCAAAAUGCGGAGUUUUUAUCUCCCACGCAACAACAUAUUAUGGUCAAGAAAUUGCUCGAGGAUUCCCAAUAAUGUUGGUAUUAAACCAAUCAAGUGUCAUUCAGCUAUGCAUUUACCACCUUCGUAGCGUAAUGUGAUGUUUUGUCUCAUGUAGCGCUUACCAGCAGAUCAUAAGGUUCAUUAGUGUCCUUUGCACCAUCCAUGGUAUCAGGGGCUCAAUUUCUACAUUUUCCAAUAGGUAUUGAAUGUGUCACGGCGUUAAUCACUUUCGUUUCCUGCAAAUUAUCAGCUUAUGUUUUUUGGCUUCUUAAUCGCUCUCCCUUUUGUGACUGAGUGGAAAGGUGACGUACUAACGAGAGGUUUAUUUGUCAGAGUUAAAUAAUCCAAGUAACAGAAGAAGCAUUUUGAAAAAUUGCAAAAUUUAAUUUUAUGAUUUUUUUUUACAUCUUUUUGACCCACUAAUCUUAACUAUCAUGACAAAAAAAAAAAAAAAAAAAAAAAAAAAAAACUCUAGAUUUGUUUAUCUAUAUUGGAUCUACAACCAAUGAAAACCAACCACAUUUAUCAUGAUUACCAUAUUCUUCAUUAAGGGUGGGUCAAUCUAGUAAAAACAUGGAUCUAUUUAACAUUCUCCUAAAAAUAAUAAUGAGUUGCUCUUUGUCAACAAUCGUAAUAAUUGUUUACAAAAAGUUAUGCCUUCUGUGAAAUGAGAAUGAACUUUGCUUUAAUUGACUUCUAUCAAAACUACAAUCAACAUUGUGUAACACAAAUGAUUGAGGAAAGCUCAACUUAGAGAUUAACAUGGUGUAACACAAGUCAAAGACUUGAUUGAAUCACUAUAAUAUUAAAAGACUUCAAUCAGCAGUUUUUGACUUUUGAGAAAAAAAUAAGGUCGUAGAUUCAUCCAGGAUGUGCGAA